rnacentral:lncRNA from 1 species
UAAAGGAAUUAGGCCAACAGUUGUUACAUAUAGCACCUUGUUUCUUGGCCUUUUUGAAAUACACCAGGUUGAGCAUGCUUUAAAACUGUUUGAUGAGAUGCAGCAUAAUGAUGUAGCAGCCGAUACAUAUAUAUACAAUACCUUUAUUGACGGGCUCUGCAAGAAUGGUUUUGUUCUAGAGGCACUGGAAUUAUUCUGUGCUAUAGGAAAUAGCAAGUAUGAACUUGAUAUCAUAUCCUACAGCUGCCUCAUUGAUGGAUUGUGUAAAAUAGGCAAACUGGAAACUGCUUGGGAACUGUUUCAAAGUUUGUCUCGUGUAGGCCUAUUGCCAAAUGUUGUAACAUAUAACAUCAUGAUCCAUGGGCUUUGUAAUGAUGGGCAAAUGGACAAGGCACAUGAUUUGUUUCUUGAUAUGGAAGCAAAAGGUGUGGAACCCGAUUGUGUCAUAUUUAAUACGAUUAUGCUGGGUUUCAUCCGCAAUAAUGAGACAUCAAAAGUUAUUGAACUCCUUCAGCGAAUGGAUAAUAGAAAUGUAAUGCCAGACGCAUCUAUACUUUCAAUUGUUGUGGACUUGCUUGUAAAGAAUGAAAUUAGCUUAAACUCGAUUCCACAAUUCAAGAGUCAAUGAGUUUAAUGCUGAUUACUUGCAUGUCAAAGGUAAGUGAGUUUAAUAAUGAUUUAGUCGCAUGUUUCUUCUGCCUGAAAACUCAAUGUGGAGGAUCCUAUUCUUAUUACAACAUGUAAAGGAGUGUUGUCUAAUGUUGGCAUGUUCCUAGGUUCUGUCCAUGGAUUCUGUUUGCAGACAUGGCUAACUUCUUGUUCAACAGAUAAGUUUUAAAGUCUUUGAACUUAAUGUUGUAAAAUAACUUUUUUAUUAUUCAAUUCAUGAGUUUUUCUUCUAUAGCACAUCCUUCUCAUUAGCUGGAAGUGCAAAUUUUUUAGGCUUUUCCUGUAUGGCCUCUUUUUCUGUUCUAAAUAAAAUGGCAUUUUAUUUCCCUCCUGUGAGGGUACAACGUUUAUGUUUAAACUUUCUGUUAGUUAAAUUGGUUGUCUUUGAUAUAGGGAACUUCCAGUUGAGCUGAUUUGUAAUUCGAGUAUAUGAGAUUACCAACUGUAAUGGGAAUUGAUGCAUCAAAAAUUCGAUUUCGAAAUCCUUUCUUCCGCUGUAGGCCCAAGGCGGAUGUACGGUACAGCAGAACACUUUCUGUUAGUUAAAUUGGUUGUCUUUGAUAUAGGGAACUUCCAGUUGAACUGAUUUGUAAUUCGAGUAUAUGAGAUUACCAACUGUAAUGGGAAUUGAUGCCAAAUUAAUUAUGUCAUCAGGUUUUCCAAUCAGUGUUCAUCAUUUAUUUCUGUUAACAAUUAAUAGCACAGCUUGUCUUCGCAGCUUCAUUGGUUCCUCUCAAAAAAGUAAUGCCAGAUGCAUCUAUAGUUUCAAUCGUUGUGGACUUGUAAAGAAUGAAAUUAGUCUGAACUCACUUCCGUCAUUUCCUGUUCAAGAGCAGCAGGGGGAAGUUGAUGAGUCAAAUGUCAAGUUGUUGGAGCAUGUGCUUUCAGCCUAAAACCCUGAUCUGCAGCAUCUCAAUCAUGUUACAAAAGGACAUGUCGCCUGGUGACACCAUGUUCUCUACAGCGCUGUUAAUGGAUCCUGAUUGUUCUUGUGAUCUGGAGAGUCUCAUUCAUAAUACAGAUCUUGAUCAGGACGAGCUAGCAUAUGUGAUCACCAACUCUACAUGGUUGUUGAUGCCAAAUUAAAUAUGGUAUCAUGUUUUUCAACUUGUUAUUUUCUAUAGUCCUUCCUUUGAAUGGCCACAAGAAACUGUAAAAUCACCCUUUGUCUUGUUCCCUCUUAAUGAUCGAUCACUUUGGGAGCUAAUGAAUUAGUUGCACCUUGUCACUUUAUUGGUGCUUGAUUGUCGUUUGUACUUUGAAUUCACAGCAUAUUUUACACUUGAUGUACUCUUUCCAUAAUCACCUUUGAGGGCUGCUAGUAUGUAUAAUUGAAAAACCUUAUAUAAAUUCUAAGCAUUUUUAUUUAACUUGUUGUAAACCUCCAGUGUAUGUCUCUUCUGUGAAAUGAUUCAUACUCUAUGCUGCUAGGACCUAGGCUUAUGACUCUUCUGUGAAAUGAUUUACCCUCACCUGCACACAGACAUUUAUCCCAAUCAAGAAAUCUUCAAACAAUGUGAAAAAAAUUGCUUGAAACACGACGCAGACUUAACCGAUUAAAAUGUCCCUACUGUGAGGAAGGAUGCUAUACAACUGACUCGGAAAAUGUAAAAUGGAUAACGUACGCCCAAGAUGAUCAACUAGAAACACAAUUCAAAACUCGGGCUGCUUUUGGCUGCCCGGCCUUCAGAAGUCAAUAUUUAUAUGAACUUUUGAGGAGAAAUUAUAUGAACUUUUGAGGAGAAAUUAUACUAAGGGUUCAGAAGUCAAUAUUUAUAUGAACUUCAGAAGUCAAUAUUUGGCUGCCCGGCCUUCAGAAGUCAAUAUUUAAAAACUUGGUGAAAUUACCGAUUAAAAUGUCCCUACUGUGAGGAAGGAUGCUAUACAACUGACUCGGAAAAUGUAAAAUGGAUAACGUACGCCCAAGAUGAUCAACUAGAAACACAAUUCAAAACUCGGGCUGCUUUUGGCUGCCCGGCCUUCAGAAGUCAAUAUUUAAAAACUUGGUGAAAUUACCGAUUAAAAUGUCCCUACUGUGAGGAAGGAUGCUAUACAACUGACUCGGAAAAUGUAAAAUGGAUAACGUACGCCCAAGAUGAUCAACUAGAAACACAAUUCAAAACUCGGGCUGCUUUUGGCUGCCCGGCCUUCAGAAGUCAAUAUUUAAAAACUUGGUGAAAUUACCGAUUAAAAUGUCCCUACUGUGAGGAAGGAUGCUAUACAACUGACUCGGAAAAUGUAAAAUGGAUAACGUACGCCCAAGAUGAUCAACUAGAAACACAAUUCAAAACUCGGGCUGCUUUUGGCUGCCCGGCCUUCAGAAGUCAAUAUUUAUAUGAACUUUUGAGGAGAAAUUAUAUGAACUUUUGAGGAGAAAUUAUACUAAGGGUUCAGAAGUCAAUAUUUAUAUGAACUUCAGAAGUCAAUAUUUGGCUGCCCGGCCUUCAGAAGUCAAUAUUUAAAAACUUGGUGAAAUUACCGAUUAAAAUGUCCCUACUGUGAGGAAGGAUGCUAUACAACUGACUCGGAAAAUGUAAAAUGGAUAACGUACGCCCAAGAUGAUCAACUAGAAACACAAUUCAAAACUCGGGCUGCUUUUGGCUGCCCGGCCUUCAGAAGUCAAUAUUUAAAAACUUGGUGAAAUUACCGAUUAAAAUGUCCCUACUGUGAGGAAGGAUGCUAUACAACUGACUCGGAAAAUGUAAAAUGGAUAACGUACGCCCAAGAUGAUCAACUAGAAACACAAUUCAAAACUCGGGCUGCUUUUGGCUGCCCGGCCUUCAGAAGUCAAUAUUUAAAAACUUGGUGAAAUUACCGAUUAAAAUGUCCCUACUGUGAGGAAGGAUGCUAUACAACUGACUCGGAAAAUGUAAAAUGGAUAACGUACGCCCAAGAUGAUCAACUAGAAACACAAUUCAAAACUCGGGCUGCUUUUGGCUGCCCGGCCUUCAGAAGUCAAUAUUUAUAUGAACUUUUGAGGAGAAAUUAUAUGAACUUUUGAGGAGAAAUUAUACUAAGGGUUCAGAAGUCAAUAUUUAUAUGAACUUCAGAAGUCAAUAUUUGGCUGCCCGGCCUUCAGAAGUCAAUAUUUAAAAACUUGGUGAAAUUACCGAUUAAAAUGUCCCUACUGUGAGGAAGGAUGCUAUACAACUGACUCGGAAAAUGUAAAAUGGAUAACGUACGCCCAAGAUGAUCAACUAGAAACACAAUUCAAAACUCGGGCUGCUUUUGGCUGCCCGGCCUUCAGAAGUCAAUAUUUAAAAACUUGGUGAAAUUACCGAUUAAAAUGUCCCUACUGUGAGGAAGGAUGCUAUACAACUGACUCGGAAAAUGUAAAAUGGAUAACGUACGCCCAAGAUGAUCAACUAGAAACACAAUUCAAAACUCGGGCUGCUUUUGGCUGCCCGGCCUUCAGAAGUCAAUAUUUAAAAACUUGGUGAAAUUACCGAUUAAAAUGUCCCUACUGUGAGGAAGGAUGCUAUACAACUGACUCGGAAAAUGUAAAAUGGAUAACGUACGCCCAAGAUGAUCAACUAGAAACACAAUUCAAAACUCGGGCUGCUUUUGGCUGCCCGGCCUUCAGAAGUCAAUAUUUAUAUGAACUUUUGAGGAGAAAUUAUAUGAACUUUUGAGGAGAAAUUAUACUAAGGGUUCAGAAGUCAAUAUUUAUAUGAACUUCAGAAGUCAAUAUUUGGCUGCCCGGCCUUCAGAAGUCAAUAUUUAAAAACUUGGUGAAAUUACCGAUUAAAAUGUCCCUACUGUGAGGAAGGAUGCUAUACAACUGACUCGGAAAAUGUAAAAUGGAUAACGUACGCCCAAGAUGAUCAACUAGAAACACAAUUCAAAACUCGGGCUGCUUUUGGCUGCCCGGCCUUCAGAAGUCAAUAUUUAAAAACUUGGUGAAAUUACCGAUUAAAAUGUCCCUACUGUGAGGAAGGAUGCUAUACAACUGACUCGGAAAAUGUAAAAUGGAUAACGUACGCCCAAGAUGAUCAACUAGAAACACAAUUCAAAACUCGGGCUGCUUUUGGCUGCCCGGCCUUCAGAAGUCAAUAUUUAAAAACUUGGUGAAAUUACCGAUUAAAAUGUCCCUACUGUGAGGAAGGAUGCUAUACAACUGACUCGGAAAAUGUAAAAUGGAUAACGUACGCCCAAGAUGAUCAACUAGAAACACAAUUCAAAACUCGGGCUGCUUUUGGCUGCCCGGCCUUCAGAAGUCAAUAUUUAUAUGAACUUUUGAGGAGAAAUUAUAUGAACUUUUGAGGAGAAAUUAUACUAAGGGUUCAGAAGUCAAUAUUUAUAUGAACUUCAGAAGUCAAUAUUUGGCUGCCCGGCCUUCAGAAGUCAAUAUUUAAAAACUUGGUGAAAUUACCGAUUAAAAUGUCCCUACUGUGAGGAAGGAUGCUAUACAACUGACUCGGAAAAUGUAAAAUGGAUAACGUACGCCCAAGAUGAUCAACUAGAAACACAAUUCAAAACUCGGGCUGCUUUUGGCUGCCCGGCCUUCAGAAGUCAAUAUUUAAAAACUUGGUGAAAUUACCGAUUAAAAUGUCCCUACUGUGAGGAAGGAUGCUAUACAACUGACUCGGAAAAUGUAAAAUGGAUAACGUACGCCCAAGAUGAUCAACUAGAAACACAAUUCAAAACUCGGGCUGCUUUUGGCUGCCCGGCCUUCAGAAGUCAAUAUUUAAAAACUUGGUGAAAUUACCGAUUAAAAUGUCCCUACUGUGAGGAAGGAUGCUAUACAACUGACUCGGAAAAUGUAAAAUGGAUAACGUACGCCCAAGAUGAUCAACUAGAAACACAAUUCAAAACUCGGGCUGCUUUUGGCUGCCCGGCCUUCAGAAGUCAAUAUUUAUAUGAACUUUUGAGGAGAAAUUAUAUGAACUUUUGAGGAGAAAUUAUACUAAGGGUUCAGAAGUCAAUAUUUAUAUGAACUUCAGAAGUCAAUAUUUGGCUGCCCGGCCUUCAGAAGUCAAUAUUUAAAAACUUGGUGAAAUUACCGAUUAAAAUGUCCCUACUGUGAGGAAGGAUGCUAUACAACUGACUCGGAAAAUGUAAAAUGGAUAACGUACGCCCAAGAUGAUCAACUAGAAACACAAUUCAAAACUCGGGCUGCUUUUGGCUGCCCGGCCUUCAGAAGUCAAUAUUUAAAAACUUGGUGAAAUUACCGAUUAAAAUGUCCCUACUGUGAGGAAGGAUGCUAUACAACUGACUCGGAAAAUGUAAAAUGGAUAACGUACGCCCAAGAUGAUCAACUAGAAACACAAUUCAAAACUCGGGCUGCUUUUGGCUGCCCGGCCUUCAGAAGUCAAUAUUUAAAAACUUGGUGAAAUUACCGAUUAAAAUGUCCCUACUGUGAGGAAGGAUGCUAUACAACUGACUCGGAAAAUGUAAAAUGGAUAACGUACGCCCAAGAUGAUCAACUAGAAACACAAUUCAAAACUCGGGCUGCUUUUGGCUGCCCGGCCUUCAGAAGUCAAUAUUUAUAUGAACUUUUGAGGAGAAAUUAUAUGAACUUUUGAGGAGAAAUUAUACUAAGGGUUCAGAAGUCAAUAUUUAUAUGAACUUCAGAAGUCAAUAUUUGGCUGCCCGGCCUUCAGAAGUCAAUAUUUAAAAACUUGGUGAAAUUACCGAUUAAAAUGUCCCUACUGUGAGGAAGGAUGCUAUACAACUGACUCGGAAAAUGUAAAAUGGAUAACGUACGCCCAAGAUGAUCAACUAGAAACACAAUUCAAAACUCGGGCUGCUUUUGGCUGCCCGGCCUUCAGAAGUCAAUAUUUAAAAACUUGGUGAAAUUACCGAUUAAAAUGUCCCUACUGUGAGGAAGGAUGCUAUACAACUGACUCGGAAAAUGUAAAAUGGAUAACGUACGCCCAAGAUGAUCAACUAGAAACACAAUUCAAAACUCGGGCUGCUUUUGGCUGCCCGGCCUUCAGAAGUCAAUAUUUAAAAACUUGGUGAAAUUACCGAUUAAAAUGUCCCUACUGUGAGGAAGGAUGCUAUACAACUGACUCGGAAAAUGUAAAAUGGAUAACGUACGCCCAAGAUGAUCAACUAGAAACACAAUUCAAAACUCGGGCUGCUUUUGGCUGCCCGGCCUUCAGAAGUCAAUAUUUAUAUGAACUUUUGAGGAGAAAUUAUAUGAACUUUUGAGGAGAAAUUAUACUAAGGGUUCAGAAGUCAAUAUUUAUAUGAACUUCAGAAGUCAAUAUUUGGCUGCCCGGCCUUCAGAAGUCAAUAUUUAAAAACUUGGUGAAAUUACCGAUUAAAAUGUCCCUACUGUGAGGAAGGAUGCUAUACAACUGACUCGGAAAAUGUAAAAUGGAUAACGUACGCCCAAGAUGAUCAACUAGAAACACAAUUCAAAACUCGGGCUGCUUUUGGCUGCCCGGCCUUCAGAAGUCAAUAUUUAAAAACUUGGUGAAAUUACCGAUUAAAAUGUCCCUACUGUGAGGAAGGAUGCUAUACAACUGACUCGGAAAAUGUAAAAUGGAUAACGUACGCCCAAGAUGAUCAACUAGAAACACAAUUCAAAACUCGGGCUGCUUUUGGCUGCCCGGCCUUCAGAAGUCAAUAUUUAAAAACUUGGUGAAAUUACCGAUUAAAAUGUCCCUACUGUGAGGAAGGAUGCUAUACAACUGACUCGGAAAAUGUAAAAUGGAUAACGUACGCCCAAGAUGAUCAACUAGAAACACAAUUCAAAACUCGGGCUGCUUUUGGCUGCCCGGCCUUCAGAAGUCAAUAUUUAUAUGAACUUUUGAGGAGAAAUUAUAUGAACUUUUGAGGAGAAAUUAUACUAAGGGUUCAGAAGUCAAUAUUUAUAUGAACUUCAGAAGUCAAUAUUUGGCUGCCCGGCCUUCAGAAGUCAAUAUUUAAAAACUUGGUGAAAUUACCGAUUAAAAUGUCCCUACUGUGAGGAAGGAUGCUAUACAACUGACUCGGAAAAUGUAAAAUGGAUAACGUACGCCCAAGAUGAUCAACUAGAAACACAAUUCAAAACUCGGGCUGCUUUUGGCUGCCCGGCCUUCAGAAGUCAAUAUUUAAAAACUUGGUGAAAUUACCGAUUAAAAUGUCCCUACUGUGAGGAAGGAUGCUAUACAACUGACUCGGAAAAUGUAAAAUGGAUAACGUACGCCCAAGAUGAUCAACUAGAAACACAAUUCAAAACUCGGGCUGCUUUUGGCUGCCCGGCCUUCAGAAGUCAAUAUUUAAAAACUUGGUGAAAUUACCGAUUAAAAUGUCCCUACUGUGAGGAAGGAUGCUAUACAACUGACUCGGAAAAUGUAAAAUGGAUAACGUACGCCCAAGAUGAUCAACUAGAAACACAAUUCAAAACUCGGGCUGCUUUUGGCUGCCCGGCCUUCAGAAGUCAAUAUUUAUAUGAACUUUUGAGGAGAAAUUAUAUGAACUUUUGAGGAGAAAUUAUACUAAGGGUUCAGAAGUCAAUAUUUAUAUGAACUUCAGAAGUCAAUAUUUGGCUGCCCGGCCUUCAGAAGUCAAUAUUUAAAAACUUGGUGAAAUUACCGAUUAAAAUGUCCCUACUGUGAGGAAGGAUGCUAUACAACUGACUCGGAAAAUGUAAAAUGGAUAACGUACGCCCAAGAUGAUCAACUAGAAACACAAUUCAAAACUCGGGCUGCUUUUGGCUGCCCGGCCUUCAGAAGUCAAUAUUUAAAAACUUGGUGAAAUUACCGAUUAAAAUGUCCCUACUGUGAGGAAGGAUGCUAUACAACUGACUCGGAAAAUGUAAAAUGGAUAACGUACGCCCAAGAUGAUCAACUAGAAACACAAUUCAAAACUCGGGCUGCUUUUGGCUGCCCGGCCUUCAGAAGUCAAUAUUUAAAAACUUGGUGAAAUUACCGAUUAAAAUGUCCCUACUGUGAGGAAGGAUGCUAUACAACUGACUCGGAAAAUGUAAAAUGGAUAACGUACGCCCAAGAUGAUCAACUAGAAACACAAUUCAAAACUCGGGCUGCUUUUGGCUGCCCGGCCUUCAGAAGUCAAUAUUUAUAUGAACUUUUGAGGAGAAAUUAUAUGAACUUUUGAGGAGAAAUUAUACUAAGGGUUCAGAAGUCAAUAUUUAUAUGAACUUCAGAAGUCAAUAUUUGGCUGCCCGGCCUUCAGAAGUCAAUAUUUAAAAACUUGGUGAAAUUACCGAUUAAAAUGUCCCUACUGUGAGGAAGGAUGCUAUACAACUGACUCGGAAAAUGUAAAAUGGAUAACGUACGCCCAAGAUGAUCAACUAGAAACACAAUUCAAAACUCGGGCUGCUUUUGGCUGCCCGGCCUUCAGAAGUCAAUAUUUAAAAACUUGGUGAAAUUACCGAUUAAAAUGUCCCUACUGUGAGGAAGGAUGCUAUACAACUGACUCGGAAAAUGUAAAAUGGAUAACGUACGCCCAAGAUGAUCAACUAGAAACACAAUUCAAAACUCGGGCUGCUUUUGGCUGCCCGGCCUUCAGAAGUCAAUAUUUAAAAACUUGGUGAAAUUACCGAUUAAAAUGUCCCUACUGUGAGGAAGGAUGCUAUACAACUGACUCGGAAAAUGUAAAAUGGAUAACGUACGCCCAAGAUGAUCAACUAGAAACACAAUUCAAAACUCGGGCUGCUUUUGGCUGCCCGGCCUUCAGAAGUCAAUAUUUAUAUGAACUUUUGAGGAGAAAUUAUAUGAACUUUUGAGGAGAAAUUAUACUAAGGGUUCAGAAGUCAAUAUUUAUAUGAACUUCAGAAGUCAAUAUUUGGCUGCCCGGCCUUCAGAAGUCAAUAUUUAAAAACUUGGUGAAAUUACCGAUUAAAAUGUCCCUACUGUGAGGAAGGAUGCUAUACAACUGACUCGGAAAAUGUAAAAUGGAUAACGUACGCCCAAGAUGAUCAACUAGAAACACAAUUCAAAACUCGGGCUGCUUUUGGCUGCCCGGCCUUCAGAAGUCAAUAUUUAAAAACUUGGUGAAAUUACCGAUUAAAAUGUCCCUACUGUGAGGAAGGAUGCUAUACAACUGACUCGGAAAAUGUAAAAUGGAUAACGUACGCCCAAGAUGAUCAACUAGAAACACAAUUCAAAACUCGGGCUGCUUUUGGCUGCCCGGCCUUCAGAAGUCAAUAUUUAAAAACUUGGUGAAAUUACCGAUUAAAAUGUCCCUACUGUGAGGAAGGAUGCUAUACAACUGACUCGGAAAAUGUAAAAUGGAUAACGUACGCCCAAGAUGAUCAACUAGAAACACAAUUCAAAACUCGGGCUGCUUUUGGCUGCCCGGCCUUCAGAAGUCAAUAUUUAUAUGAACUUUUGAGGAGAAAUUAUAUGAACUUUUGAGGAGAAAUUAUACUAAGGGUUCAGAAGUCAAUAUUUAUAUGAACUUCAGAAGUCAAUAUUUGGCUGCCCGGCCUUCAGAAGUCAAUAUUUAAAAACUUGGUGAAAUUACCGAUUAAAAUGUCCCUACUGUGAGGAAGGAUGCUAUACAACUGACUCGGAAAAUGUAAAAUGGAUAACGUACGCCCAAGAUGAUCAACUAGAAACACAAUUCAAAACUCGGGCUGCUUUUGGCUGCCCGGCCUUCAGAAGUCAAUAUUUAAAAACUUGGUGAAAUUACCGAUUAAAAUGUCCCUACUGUGAGGAAGGAUGCUAUACAACUGACUCGGAAAAUGUAAAAUGGAUAACGUACGCCCAAGAUGAUCAACUAGAAACACAAUUCAAAACUCGGGCUGCUUUUGGCUGCCCGGCCUUCAGAAGUCAAUAUUUAAAAACUUGGUGAAAUUACCGAUUAAAAUGUCCCUACUGUGAGGAAGGAUGCUAUACAACUGACUCGGAAAAUGUAAAAUGGAUAACGUACGCCCAAGAUGAUCAACUAGAAACACAAUUCAAAACUCGGGCUGCUUUUGGCUGCCCGGCCUUCAGAAGUCAAUAUUUAUAUGAACUUUUGAGGAGAAAUUAUAUGAACUUUUGAGGAGAAAUUAUACUAAGGGUUCAGAAGUCAAUAUUUAUAUGAACUUCAGAAGUCAAUAUUUGGCUGCCCGGCCUUCAGAAGUCAAUAUUUAAAAACUUGGUGAAAUUACCGAUUAAAAUGUCCCUACUGUGAGGAAGGAUGCUAUACAACUGACUCGGAAAAUGUAAAAUGGAUAACGUACGCCCAAGAUGAUCAACUAGAAACACAAUUCAAAACUCGGGCUGCUUUUGGCUGCCCGGCCUUCAGAAGUCAAUAUUUAAAAACUUGGUGAAAUUACCGAUUAAAAUGUCCCUACUGUGAGGAAGGAUGCUAUACAACUGACUCGGAAAAUGUAAAAUGGAUAACGUACGCCCAAGAUGAUCAACUAGAAACACAAUUCAAAACUCGGGCUGCUUUUGGCUGCCCGGCCUUCAGAAGUCAAUAUUUAAAAACUUGGUGAAAUUACCGAUUAAAAUGUCCCUACUGUGAGGAAGGAUGCUAUACAACUGACUCGGAAAAUGUAAAAUGGAUAACGUACGCCCAAGAUGAUCAACUAGAAACACAAUUCAAAACUCGGGCUGCUUUUGGCUGCCCGGCCUUCAGAAGUCAAUAUUUAUAUGAACUUUUGAGGAGAAAUUAUAUGAACUUUUGAGGAGAAAUUAUACUAAGGGUUCAGAAGUCAAUAUUUAUAUGAACUUCAGAAGUCAAUAUUUGGCUGCCCGGCCUUCAGAAGUCAAUAUUUAAAAACUUGGUGAAAUUACCGAUUAAAAUGUCCCUACUGUGAGGAAGGAUGCUAUACAACUGACUCGGAAAAUGUAAAAUGGAUAACGUACGCCCAAGAUGAUCAACUAGAAACACAAUUCAAAACUCGGGCUGCUUUUGGCUGCCCGGCCUUCAGAAGUCAAUAUUUAAAAACUUGGUGAAAUUACCGAUUAAAAUGUCCCUACUGUGAGGAAGGAUGCUAUACAACUGACUCGGAAAAUGUAAAAUGGAUAACGUACGCCCAAGAUGAUCAACUAGAAACACAAUUCAAAACUCGGGCUGCUUUUGGCUGCCCGGCCUUCAGAAGUCAAUAUUUAAAAACUUGGUGAAAUUACCGAUUAAAAUGUCCCUACUGUGAGGAAGGAUGCUAUACAACUGACUCGGAAAAUGUAAAAUGGAUAACGUACGCCCAAGAUGAUCAACUAGAAACACAAUUCAAAACUCGGGCUGCUUUUGGCUGCCCGGCCUUCAGAAGUCAAUAUUUAUAUGAACUUUUGAGGAGAAAUUAUAUGAACUUUUGAGGAGAAAUUAUACUAAGGGUUCAGAAGUCAAUAUUUAUAUGAACUUCAGAAGUCAAUAUUUGGCUGCCCGGCCUUCAGAAGUCAAUAUUUAAAAACUUGGUGAAAUUACCGAUUAAAAUGUCCCUACUGUGAGGAAGGAUGCUAUACAACUGACUCGGAAAAUGUAAAAUGGAUAACGUACGCCCAAGAUGAUCAACUAGAAACACAAUUCAAAACUCGGGCUGCUUUUGGCUGCCCGGCCUUCAGAAGUCAAUAUUUAUAUGAACUUUUGAGGAGAAAUUAUAUGAACUUUUGAGGAGAAAUUAUACUAAGGGUUCAGAAGUCAAUAUUUAUAUGAACUUCAGAAGUCAAUAUUUGGCUGCCCGGCCUUCAGAAGUCAAUAUUUAAAAACUUGGUGAAAUUACCGAUUAAAAUGUCCCUACUGUGAGGAAGGAUGCUAUACAACUGACUCGGAAAAUGUAAAAUGGAUAACGUACGCCCAAGAUGAUCAACCAGAAAGUGAGAGAUUAGGAUCACCAGUCAGUCAGAUUUGGAUAGAAAGUGAGAGAUUGCUAUGCCGUGCCAUUGCUUCAAUCCUAAAUGCUUUCAUCUCCCUGAAAAGUAUACAAAUGUAGGGGUUAAAACAGAAUAGAUGAAACCGUAUUGAGGAACUCAACUGAGACAGAUGAUAAAUGAAAACUAACCAACCUUCACGCAAAACUCGUACAUCUCCCUUUAAGAGCUGACUUUCUGAGAAGAGAUCACCACAAUCGUUCACAUCAAAAGUCUCCACUUGAAAAUUUUAUAACCAUAGUACUCAUUCCAUUCAAACCAGAUCCUUGAGAUCAGUUCCUUCUUCAGGCAAGUGGCAUGAUCUUCCUCUUUAGGAGACUCAGCAGCAACCAGUCUAUAUGCACAAACUUUCUUUGUUUGGCCUGGCCGGAAAGCCCUGCUGAUUGCCUGGCGGCUCACUGAUGGAUUAAAGAGAACAUCCAGAAUAAUGAUUCAAAUUUUUGUGGAAUUACUUGUAAAGAAUGAAAUUGGUUUAAACUCGAUUCCACAAUUCAAGAGACAAAACUAAGCAGACGGGUUGAAUCUUUGAUUUAGUAGCAUGUCUCUUCUGCUUUAAAAGCAGAUCUGGAGAAUCCCAUUCUUAUUACAACGUGUGAAGGAGUGUUGUGUAUUGUUGGCAUGUUCCCAGGUUCUGUUCAUGGAUUCUGUUUGCAGACAUGGCCGACUCUUUGUUUCAUCGGAUAAGUUUCAAAUAAUUCUGGCAAAUUUUUGUUGUAAAAUUACUUUUUUAUCAUUUAAUCCAUAUGCCUCUUUCUCAUUACCUGCAAGUGCAAAAUUUUUAGGCUCGUCCUAUUAGACCUCUUUUUCUUCUCUAAAUAGAUAAAAUGGCAUUUCAUUUUUCUCUUGCGAGGGUGCAGGUUUAUGCUGAAACUUUCGGUUAGUUAAAUUGAUUGUCUUUGAUAUUGGAACUUGUAGUUGAACUAGUUUGCAUUUAGAAUAUAUGAGAUUACCAACUGUAACGGGAAUUGGUGCCGAAUUGAUUAUGUUAUCAGGUUUUUCAGUCUGUGCUCAUCUUUUAUUUCUGUUAAUAAUUAAUAGCACAGCUUGUCUUCUCUGCUUCUUUGGUUCCUGUCUAUUGUCAAAUAUAAACUUGUAGAGACAUUUUGUUUUGGCAUGGCACAUGCUAGAUUUUGUUUUUGGUUUGAAUGAUACUACACAUCUAAGUGAUUGUCCAGAUUUUUUUUCAUUCCUAGUGACAUGGCACUCAAUUGAAUGGUGACUCGUGAAUCAUGAUUGUGUGUGUUGGUCUUUGUUAUACUACGUGUUGGCAAGACAAAGUCUUUUGAAACUGCCAAACUUUUCUAUAUGAAUAUUGAAGACAAUAUGAUAAGAUAAAAUUAAUCAAAAACAUAUAUACUUGACAGGGCUGGAACGUCUGUUAUUAGUCCUCGCCUUCCAUUCUUGUUUCAUAUUCUUCUGCUAACAAAUCUUGAUCAUGAUAGUCUUCUCUGUUAUUAAUCCUUUUUUUUUUUUUUUUGGCUUUUGGAUUUUGUUUCCUUUAUAUAUAUAUAUAUAUAUAUAUAUAUAUAUUGUAUACAGUUAUUAGCAUCGACAACUUGAGCUUGCAGUCUUGUGAGUUUAGAGCCUACCAAAGUAAGCAUACACAUGACAAUGAAGAAUUGAAGAUUGUGAACGGUUUACUUGUGCGGCUAUGUUAGAAAAAUUUGACUGAUCGUGAAGAUAUUGAGAGAUCGUCCAUCUUGGUACUGCUAUUGUUGGAGCCUUGAAGUGUCAACUUCUCAUCGUUGCCUACAGUUGCCUCAUUGAUGAAUUGCGUAAAAUAGGCAAACUGAAAAUUGCUUGGGAACUGUUUCAAAGUUUGCCCCGUACAGGCCUAAUGCAAAAUGUUGUAACAUAUAACAUCAUGAUUCAUGGGCUUUGUGAUGAUGGGGCAAAUGGAUAAGACACAUGAUUUAUUUCUUGAUAGACCAUUCUCAGGGCACAAAGGGUGUGGUGCCCAAUUGUGCCAUAUUUACUAUGCUUAUGCGAAAGAAUGAGACAUCAAAAUUUUCAUCACUCAAUGGAUAUAAGAAAUGUAAUGCCAGCUGCAUCUAUAGUUUCAAUUGGUGUGCGCUUACUGGUUAAGAAUGAAAUUAGUUUAAACUUGAUGCCAGAAUUCAAGAGACGGUUAAUUAGAUGAGUUGAAUGUUGAUUUAGUAGCCUUGAAGUUUUGCAAAUGUUUCCUGAUGGAUAAAUUGAACUUGUAUGCACACAUGUAAACUAAAAGAAAAAUUAUUUUAAUAGAAAACGUGCUUUAAGCAUGUCCUUCGGCAUGAGGUAAUACUAUAAAGUUUUUUUUUAAGUAAGGUUAUAAAUUCUAGCAAUUGAGUCUCAAUUUGAUAUUAUAUUCAUCUGGUAUAGGGUAGAAUAUUAAUUUUUUCAAUUAUAAAAUUUACUAUCUAAUAGAUGAACAACACUUAACAGUUGAGAAUGAAAUGGAGACUCAAUUGUUGGGAGUCCAAUCACUUUUUUCUCUUUUAACUUGCUAUUUUUGUUGUCCGAAAUUAUCUGAAGUUCCAUGCUUGCUCCAAUAGAACAAAUAAGAUAGGUUAUGAUCAACUUUUUUUUUUUCCAAAUAAAGGAACCACCUGCAUCGAUACUCCAUAAGCAAGUUUUUUCUUUUGACUGCCCCUUAUAUUUGUCACACUCCUUGUACUAGUGCCCAAUGAAACCACAACAGAAGCAAAAAUAUGGCAAUCUCUCAUAUACUACUGUAAUUGGAACAUCGUCUUCACCUUCAAGUUCUAAAUAAAUAAUUUUCUUUAGUGGUUGUGUGAUAUCAAUUGAGAUACUUACUCUGGCAUACUAACCAAUGCACUCUCCUUCCACGUCCACAUCAACUUCUUCAACUAUACCAAUUGCCUCUCCCAAUGCUUUGAUUAUUUGCUGGUCUAUACACCCAACUGGGACAUUAUGAAGUUGUACCCAAAGGCAGCAUGAGUAAAUGAUUGUUUUGUUAUUUCCCCAAUUCCACUUGCCUCUUUUAGAACUAUUAGAGCUCGUUCAAAAUGCCACUGCCCACUUGAUAAAAUUCUCAUCUUAUCAACUUCAAAGGCAAAUUUAACUUAAAAAUCUUACUCCCCAGAUUUUCAAUUUCACCUAUUCUACUAUUCUGCAUACUUGUUGUAAUGCUCACUUGAGACCCUCUCUAGUAACUCCUCUUAGAUGUAAGACUUUGCCCAGCAAACAGCCCUCAACUAGCUCUCUCUCAUUCCCUUUCAUGACAUUACCAACAACUUCUUUACUCUAUUUUCCUUCUUCUAAUAUAAUAACUUUACACUUGCAAAUUAGUUCUUCUGUUUUCAUUAGGCACUAAAAUAUAAAUCCAUUGUGAUAACUCUUGAGUAUCUACCACUUCCUCUGUAAUUAAGACUCAACAACUCAAAUGAAAAACUUAAAAGUAAAAGAGACACCCAACUCGUGAGCAACUUUCGCAAUCUUAUGGGCUACUACCAUUUCAUUCUAGAUUCUCGCUCAUAGAGGGAGAACCUGUGAAGAAAGACUUCUACAGGUAGGAGACCGCUUACACAGUAGAUUAUUUAUAUUUCUUUGGACUAACUUUUUACUUUAUCAAAGACAAAAACAACAUAAACAAAGACAGAAGAUUAACAAAAGCAUCAAUUGCCAAAGAGUAGAGAGUAUUAUUAUAUUUUAGGAACAUAGGUUAUGACCAACUUAAAAGAAGCAGUUAGGGCUUGUUCAGUACUGUUUUAAAAGCCUUAUUUUCAUUUUUGUUUUGGGAGUACAAAUAUAAUACAUAUUUAGUGGGUUGAAUCCAAAAAUUAAAUCAUAAAAAAGAAUUGAUAUUCACUUUUACAGUUAUAAAAUUAAGAACCUAUUGAACAUGUUCUCAAACAAAUUACAAAUUAAAUUAAAACAUAAACCCCAAAAUAAAAUCUAAAAAGUUAUCUUCCUCUCCUAAAAUCUUAUCUCCUCCCUCUCGUUAUCUCUUCACAACUCUUCCUUCUUCAUGGUAGAUACUUCUCCUCUAACCACAACCCACCUGAAUUGUGCACCGAUCUCUCUCUCCCCAUCCCCUUUAUCUAGGUCUACUUCACAGUUCUCUUCCUCUCAGUGGCUGUUACUUGUUCAUCAACCGCAAUCCAUCGUCGUAAGGUACUACGUCGGAAUAUUUUACCAAAAACAUGUCAAGACAAAGUGAUGUCUAUCAUGGUUUAUUACUGCAAGUGCAUUAUUUUCUUUGUACUAAAGUGAAUCUUUGAUGUAUUUAUUAAAUUUGGUGGAGCAAUCUUAGUUAAUUUUGAUGAUUUAUAUAUGCAUUUAAUUUCAUUUUUAAUAAUUCAUGUGCAGGAAAUAUGGAUUCUUGGCUUUGCUUGGACUGAUGGUUUGGGCAAUUUCAUUUGGAAUCAAUCAACUUCGAGGAUAAACACUUGUAGUUCAUCCUUUGUUCUCUAAUUUUGUUCAUGGGACUUGCUUUUCUUCCAUCCAACUUUUUUGUUCUCUAUUUCUAUGGUAGCAGUUUUAUGUUUUGUGUUGGUGGGAAACUUCAUGCUGCAAUUUUGUCAAAUUCUGUUGACAUACCCUAAUCAGUAAUGACUUUGCUGCAUGGCGAAAGCAUAAGCUCAUAGUUGACAUUGUUGUCAUUAGAGCUUGUUUCCAUAAAAAAAAAGUGUAAUUUGAAAGUACAUUGUACACUAUUGAAUUUGAAUUAUCUCCAACAAGUGUUGAUGCAUGAUGUCCAUCAUGUAAUUUUUUUAUAAUCAUUUUGUUUAACUUAUAUGUGUUGUAAUAUAUAGCUUAAUUAUAGUGUAAAAACAAUGGCAAUGUAAUUUUUUUAUUAAUGCUAAUACUAAAACUUUAUCAUCAUGCAAUGUUUUAUAAUUAUUUUGAUUAAAUUAUUUAUGGUAUAUUUUUGUAUUAAUUAAAUAAACAAUUAGUUUUUAUUAAAAAAAUUAUGACUUAUAUGUUUAGUAAAAAUUGUUCAUGAAAAUAGUAUUACCGAACACAUUUUCUCUGUGUUUAUCUUUUUCAAUUGUGUUUACGGAACACAUGUUACUGUUUUCAAUUUAGAAAAUACAAGAGAUAGAAAAUGAUAUCAGAUGUCUAUUUAAUUCAAAAUGCAGCAACUGCAAAACACUAUUUUUACUCUCAUUUUUCUUUUUAGAAAAUACUAAUUUAGAAACAAUACCAAACAAGAACUUAGUUUUAGUACGAAUAAUGUUGUGUUAGUUUUAUAGGUUUACAUGCACCCUUAGAUUUAUUAGAAGUAUCAGCCCAACCCCCUAGUUACUGUUGACUAAUAUCGAACCCGCUGCCCGAUGUUGACUCUUGAAAGUAACUAUAACAUCUAUAUUGUAAUCUCACUUUAUUAACUAAUAAAUUUUAAAAAUAUAAACAGAUCAAUAAUAACAAAAUAAUUAAAGUUGAAAUCCAAGAAAUUACACAAAAAACCACACCUAAACCAAACCUGAAAACCAAAAUGCAUAAAAUUUCAUUAAUUUAGGUUGUGACAAUGAGUCGUCUACAUUAUAUGAUGAAGGAACAAUUUCUAUCAUUUUACCAAGUUAUUAAUACUAUGUUUACGUACUAGAGUGGGCCUGAGAAGUAUAGAUUCCUCACACACUAGAGUUUACUUGCAUAUUCUAAGAGGUGUGGGAAUCUCACUCCGUUGAUCCCACCCAAUUUUGAAGUAGGGAGUGUGAUUUCCACUCCCACAAGGGAAGGUCCACUCCCACAACUUUAUUUUUUACCUUUCUUUUAUUAAAUUUAAUACAAUCAUAUUUAGUAAAAUAAAACAAAUAACAUCAUAUUUAUUUAAUAAAUAUUAUUAUAUUAUUUUAUAAAAUUCUAUUUAUUAAAAAGAAUAAUAUUAAUCUUAUUUAGAUAAAAUUAUUAUUAUAUUUAUUUAAAAAUAAUAGCAUUAUAUUUAUUUAAUAUUAAUAAUUAAUAUUAAUAAAUAGUUUAUUCUAAGAAAAUAUUUAUUUUGCACUAUAUUAUUAAUAAGAGAUAUUAUCAUUUUUCCACCAAAAUUAUUCUGAUACAUCAUGUUAGUAGCACGGUUUGGUAAAAACAUCAUUUUACCACCAAACGUUUAAAUUGUUAGUAUUUUUCCACAAUUCCGUUAAAACUCAGUUAAUAUUUAAUGAAAAAUGCAUAAAAAGUCAAUUUUACCCCUGGAGCAUAAAAGAUAAUUUUACCCUUUAAAAAGGAAGAACGACAAAAGAUGAUUUAAUUACAAAAUUACCCCCAAAAGACGACAAGACAAUUUUACCCUUUAAAAAGGGAGAACAACAAAAGACGAUUUAAUUACAAAAUUACCCCCAAAAGACGACACUGCUGCGAGAGUGAGAGAGAUAUGGGUCAGUGACAGUAAGCGAGAGAGGACGGAGAUGGAACAAGAAACGAGAGAGAGGGGGGUUGAUUUCGAUUUUUAGGGCUUCCAUAUCCAAAUUGCUUGUUUUUUUACAAUUGCAAAACACAACGUUUUGCCUUCGCAUGAGAUGUCCAAAAUGCCCUUAUGAUGUCAACAUAAUUUUUAUUUAGUUAACGGAAUGGUGGGAAAAUACUAACAAUAUAAAUGUUUGGUGGUAAAAUGAUGUUUUUAUAAAAUCGUAGUACUGAAAUGAUGUAUCAGAAUAACUUUGGUGGGAAAAUGAUAAUAUCCCUAUUAAUAAUAAUGUUUUAUUUGUGUUGCUCUUAUCAAUAAUUUUUAAUUUAAAUAAUUAAAAUUAAAACUAAUAAAAAUUUAUGAUUUACAUAAUUAAUAAUAUUAAUAAUUAUUGUUAAUUUACAAAUAUAGUGAAAUAAUAUAUUUUAUUUCAAAUAUAUUUUUUUAUUAAUUUUGUAAUUAAAAGGUACAAUUCUUUAAAUAAGUGUAAAACCGUAAUUUGAAACCAUUUACUCCCUUCUCAUUCUAGUGAGAGGAAACAACUUGCUCCCACUCCACACUCUUAAUCACAAGAUUCUCACUUCUCAAUAUUCCCACUAUAAUUUAAAAUGUAAACACCGUUUAAAACAUCAAAUAAAAUUCUCAAUUAAGUAAACCAUAAUGUGAUUGCAUAUAAAAAAAAAUUAAUAAUAUUAAUUUUCAUAAGAAUUUAUGCUCGUAGUAUUACUUUACUUUUUAUUAACCGUUGCUUCAACUUAUGGUAGAUUGUAACAUAUGCACUUUAAUUUUCUUAAUUAAGUGUAUUAUUUAAUUUUUCUCAUUCGAUGUUAAUUUUAAAUUUGUUUUGACAUAAAAUUGAGACAAUUCGAAUACGAUUCAAUGGCCGUGUAGCUGGAUUUUAUUUCAACAUGGGUCAGGCAUUAGCUUAGUUAGUAGUAAUCUUUAAAAAAAAAAAGCUAGUUUAUAUAAAUGGAAAAGGGGGAGCUGAUUUCCAAAAGAGGAAAGAAAGAGGGGCACGCGAGAGAAAAGGAGAGAGAGAGAGAGAGAAGUUGACCCGUUUAGCCCGACCCGACCCGACCCACAAGACCGACCCGGCUCCAACUCCCGUUUCUGGCCACCAUUCCAAUCAAGCUUGGUACCAAUCUGAAGCUUGAGCGACGCUGGCCAUAUCCCCGCUGUCAUCGUCACCGAAAAACAGCCACAACGCCGGUGAUCAUCGUCAAUCUCGCUGGAAUUAGGUUGCACCACCGGCUGGGUUCGACUCCUCACAUCACCAGCUUUCAUUUCCGACUAACCCCGCCACCUGAAACCUUUGUUUUGGCCCUGAAUGACCACCGGAAAGCUCACGGCUUUGGGAGCACGAUCCGCCGCCAUCUCCGCGUGUGGGAGGUCACCGUCGACGCCAUUGGGCUCACCGAGGUCAGAACUAUCAUACUUGAGCUUUCCGUCGCCGUUGACUGAAGUCCGGUCACCGUUGAGCAGUGGGGGCAAUUUGGUAAUUUCACAAGACUUUAAGGUGGAUUUUUAAUUUGGUAAUUUUAGGUUAGGGCAAUGAGGUAAUUUAAGACUUUGAGGGUAAUUCGGUAAUUUAAGUUAUUAAGAGCAUUUUGGUAAUUUCGCACUUUGAGGGUAAUUUCUUAAAUUCAAAACUUGUGAUUAAUUUUGUUAUCCGAAUUGAGGACAAUUUGGUAGUUUAAGAUAUUGAAGAUGAUUCGAUAAAUUAUGAUUCCGAUGGUACUUCGGUAAAUUUCGGUGUCAGGGGCAUUUUGGUAAUUUUUGGACAUAAGGGUAAUUUUGAAAUUUUAUGUAUCCGGGAGUUUGGUUUUGAGCUUUAUUUCAUACUGUUAGUCGUAUUUCAUGAUACAGAUAAUAAUUAUGUCGUUUAUUUAAUUAGGAGGACUCGCGAGCAAAAAUCAACCAGCGGACGUUACAUACUGUUAGUCGUAUUUCAUGAUACAGAUAAUAAUUAUGUUGUUUAUUUAAUUAGGAGGACUCGCGAGCAAAAAUCAACCAGCGGACGUUAGUGAUACCGAGUCUGGACAUCGUCACUGUGACUGGAAUAUACAAAACUUAUUUUCAUGGUAUAUUCUGAUUUUACCAUACAGUACAACAUGUUUUGAUAAUAAGUAUUUGAUGCUUUGAUUUAAUGAUUUUCUAGAAAUUUGAUUUUCAUUCUACGUGCUGAUAUUUAUUAUUAUUGAAAAUGAGUUUGAUUAAUGAUUUUAUUAUCAUUUUUUUUGAGUAAAUGCAUGAUAUUAGAAUUGAGUGGAUUUGAGAUAUGUUGAAUAAAAAGGAAAUGGGAUUUUAUAUGUGAUUAUAUGUUUGCGUGCAUGUGCAUAAAAGAUUGUUUGGAAAAUCAUUGGAAGUACCUUUCCCCUUUUAGAUACAGAGAUACAUAUAAUAUGAGAUGAAUACAGUGAUACAGAUGAUAUGAGAUGAGAGGUUUUUGGGGCCCGUCUGAACACACACAAAGACUUUGGGCCGUGUGUUUGGGCGCUUUUUCCUUUUGGGGGCUUAUGCAUACAGUAUGAUGAUUACAUAAAUACAGAUGUUGAGAUACAUGAGAUAUGAGAUGACAUUUUCCUAUAUAUCCAUUGUAACUCCAGGGCAUGAUGGUUCCCUGAUUGUCCGUCCGUCGAGGUCCGAAUAUGAUGAGAUUAUUCCGCUGGAUACUUGUUUGAUGAUAGUUUUUUGUAUCUAGUAUUUGAUAUUAUAAGUAUUAUGAUUUCAUUGAUUUUAUGCAGAUUUAUGUAAUAUUGUUAUUUCAGUGCAUGAAUUAAAUUAAAUAAGUUUAUGUAAGUUCUUAUGAUAUUUUGAUGAAAUUAACUUGGAAAAGAUUAAAUCAUUUUAAAUAAAUUUAUUUUUCCAAAAACUACUAUCCACUCACUGAGCUCACUGAGUUUUAUACUCACCCCGUUUUUAUUAUAUUUUUCCUCCUAUAGGAAAUUUGCAGGUACAUCAGUCGACCCAGCAACGAUAGUUAGAUUGAAAUUAUGGCCACGUGAUGGUGUUAGAAAUCAUAGAUGUUUUGUUGGGACAUGUUGAAUUGUAUAAUUUAUUACUUAUUUGUGAUUAAGGAUAAAUCAUUAUAUUCUUGACAUUAUAUGAUUGAAGGAUACUGAUAUUUAAAUUGAGGAAGUUGGUUGUGGAUGUUGAUUAAAUAUUGUAUUAUUUUUGGGAGUAUUAAUUGUAUAAAUUGUAGGUUUGGGGAUGUCAUAAUUAUAUAGAAAACUGUCGAAUUUUUUGUAAAAUUCUUAGAUAUCAGAAUUAUUAUUAGUUUGAUUAGGCGAGAUUAGAUAGACUCGUCCUGGGGAUUCGGGGCGGGUCGUUUCAUAGAUAUUAAGAGAACAAUAAUAAUAUAGCUAUAAAUGGUUGCAUACUAUCAAUCAACUUAACACUAUAAUUACCAACAAAUCCUUAAUACUAUAAAUAAUUAAAUUAUUGGGGUUUUAAAAUAACUCUCCAAACUUUGCAUGAUUUCUUUAUAUGUAGGUGCCAUGGUUCCUAUAAGUAAUAUCAGCCACACUUUUUGUUAUUGUUAAAACAAAUUUAUAAGUACAAUUUGUGAAUUUGUACAAAAUGUGGUAUUAUACAUUUGAAGCAUGAACCGAGAAGACAAUGUUGUGUCACUAAUAAAGAAAAAAAAAUUGUAUAAACUACAGAUGUUGUAGUGUAACUUGUAUUCUUUUUAUUUAUAAUUGUACCUAUCAUGUGAUUAUAAAAAAAACUGAGAUUUUAAAAUUUUGUAAUUGCACUAUUUUUGGAUUAUCAGAAGGCUUCCUCUCCUUAGUGAUGCCCUUAAUCCAUAAAUGGUCCAAAAAAUAAUUCAUGAAAUGAAUUUAUUAUUUUAGAUAAGUUUCAAGUACGCAUACCUUUACUAGCUCCAUAUUGCAUAACUCCUCAUUUCAAUCAAUGGAUACAUUUGUUUACUUUUUCUUUCUUGUAAAUUUUUGAAUGGCCACAAUUCUAUAGAUAAUUAAUUAAGUGUUAUUGUUAUCAUUAUUUUGUAGAUUUAUAUGUGAGGUGGGGACGUUGGGGGGCAUGUAUCUCAAUAUAGCAGAGGGCCAUAAUAUUUAUUCUUUAAGAGGAACCACAACCAACAUCAAUGCUUUAAGUUCCAUUCCAUGUUCCUUCUAUGCACCAGAUUGCAUAAACAACAUUGAUUAUCCAAGGUCAAAGUCUCUCAAAGACUCUAGUUACAAUACAAAGCAUGGGUUAGCGGCCAAAAUUUUCUUGCAAUGAAAGGCUCGUAAACUGAUGAUAGCUGUUGGAUGGUUUUGGGCCCCAAUGGUUUUAAUAUUAUUCUCUUAAAAACAUAUAUGUUGAUUAGAGACGAGAGGAAAAAGAUAAUCUGAUUCAGCAAGCUGCAGAGGAAAGAGCACGCAGUGGAGUUCAGAUUUUGAAUUCUCUUGUUAAAUUGUUUUUAAUUUACUACAAGGUAGAAUACGUUGCAGUGUUAAAAAAACACUUUGAACAUCCUAUUUUUGUAUUACAAAUAUACCAAGAUUUAAAUUAUUAUUUUUCUUUAUUAGUAUAAACUAAAUUUUGCCUGAAUUCUCAUCCUUGUAAGUGGAAUUUUAUUGUGAAACUAAUAGUCAUUCCUAGUUGAACUAUCACUUUGAACAUAUGUGUCCUCUCUAAUAACAGCUUCCAAACCUGCAGCUACCUGCUUCUCAGCAUUAGAAGUAGCCAUAAUUAGGAGGAGGGCAAACUUCCAAAUAACAUUCCAAAUGGUAUUGUGAAAAAAUUUCACCCUUUUGGUAAUAAAAAAUAACCUUAUUUCUAACUUUCUAUUAACAAUCUUACCACAAAGUUCUCUCUCAAGUAGAAACAUUAUAUAUAUAUAUUAAUUUUUUGUUAAAAUAAACAAAACCAGUGGCGGAUCUACAGCUGGGCUAGGUCUAGAAAAAAUCAUUUAAACCCCUUGUCUUUUGAUUCAUUUUACAUAAGGAUAGACUUUUUAUUUUAUUUUUAUAUAAGUCCCCAAUUCAGUUACAAUUAUGUUUUUGUCAAAUUUCAUAGAAUAAUAGAGUUUUUACUUUAUUUUCAAAUAUUUCCUUAACUCAAUUAUAUUUUUUUCCCAACUGAAAUUAAUGACUUAUUUUAUAAAAUAAUUAAAUUAUAUAUUUAUUGAAUAGAUUGAAAACAUUAGGGGUUUAAAAUGUUAUUUUUAAUUUGUUUUUAAAAAAUUUAAUUUAACAAAGUAUGUGAAUGUAAUAUAACAUCGUCACUAUUAUUAAAAAUACUAAAAACAUAUAUAAUAAAAAUUAUUCAUAAAUUCAUAAAUUUUUUAUGUAAAUGUUAACAUUUUAUUUAUUAUUUACAUUAACUUAGAGGAUAAGUUAGAAAGUAAAAUUUGAGUAUUUUAAUCUGAUUUUUUAAAGAGAGUCAGAGUGUCUGGCAAAGAAAUAACAGCACGCAAGUACCUUUUUGCUAGGUUAGAGUUUAGUUUAUUAUUGAAACUCUUGACGACUAAUAUUUUUAUAAUUUAAAAAGAUGAAUAGAUUUUAAUUGUUUAAUUUAUUUAAGCUUGGUAACUAAGGUGGCAUUUGUUUUUUAACUUAAUGACUUAAAGUGACUUAACUUAAUUAAUUAAGUUAAUUAGAAGUGUUUGUUUUUAUAACUUAGACUUUUUAGAUAAUUUUGACUUAAUAAAAUAAGUCAAUUUUUUUGGCUUUUUACUUAAUGGAGAAAUUUGAAUUAAGUCAAUUACUUACUAAUGUCAAAAAUAUCCAUGUUUUAUAAUUUAUUUUUCAUAUCUAUCCCAAAACUCACCCAUAGAACAUUUACCCCACAUAAAAAUAUCCUUAUUUUUUAUUUCUUAUAUUAUAUACGAUAAAAUUUGAAAUUUAUGGUAUUUUAUACGAAUGUAAAAGUACAUAUUUUUAGCUUUUUCAGUUGAAAAAAACAAACAACUUAAUACUUAUUUUCCGAGAUUCAGACGAAAAAACAAACAUAUUAUUCAGAUUCAGACAUACAGAUCUAUUCAGAAUUCAGACUAAUUCAGGUCUAUUCAGAUUUCAGACAAAAAAACAAACGCCACCUAAGUAUUUUUCAAACAUAAAGUUGUACUUGCACUUUUUAAAUGAUUAUAAUUACAUUUAUUGACUUAUUCUAAUUUAAAAUUCUUAAUAGAUUUAUUAAUUCUUAUAUAAUUAGAUGUUAUUAUAGGUUGCAAUGUUAGAUUUAAUAAUUAAAAAUAGUAUUUUUAUAUUUGAAUUAUCUUUUGUUUUUUAGUAUUUUUGUACAAUUAUUUUUGUUUAGAGUAUAUAUUCGUAGAGUUUUUCGUGUCCCCAUUAUUUGAUGUACUUCUUUUUACUUAUGAAUAUUUAUGUUCACUUCAAAAUAUAAAAUUUUAAAUUUAGCCCGGGGUAAUAUAAAUUCUUAGGUCCGCCCCUAAGCAAAACUAAAUAUUUAUGACUUAAAAGAUAGGUGUUGAACAGAGGCAGUCUCACAGAAAAAAAAAAAAAGUAUUUGAAAGCAGUGGUGAUAUCAUAAUUUUUUGUAUUGAUACGAGAGUAUCAUACUAGAUUUUUUUCCGCAAUACAAAAAGUUUGUAUUCAAGAAUAAAUAAGCAAUUUCGGGAACAAAUUUUACAAAAAGCCUCGAGGCCAUGUCGUAUGAAUUUGUGAUACCAAAAAUAGUAUACUAGUCAGUAUAUCUUCUUUCCACAUUACAAAAAAUUAGAAAUGCAAUCUAAAUCGAUAUCAAUUAAUAAUUUUAUAGUACACGAAAUCAAGGUAUUUUUUCAUAAUUUAAGAAAUUAUUAGUCAUUUACCCUAAAUUUACUUUGUCUCCAAAAAUACUACGAAAACUUUAACUUGUUUAGUUUUUUACCUUAAUUUAUAAUUUAUAUCAAUCACUCACUAAAAAGAUAAAAUUAGCUCAUAAAAUGACAAAAUAAAAACAAACACAAAUGACAAUACCAGUAAUUUUAUAAGGAUAAUCAAGUCCUUUUGGCACCAAAUUACGUAUUAAAAUAAUUUAAAUAUUAUAAAUUAUUUUCAGAUUGAGUGAGGAACCCUGGUCAUUUUAACAAUUAUGGUCAUUUAAUCUAUCUAAACAUGAUAUUUCAAGUAGACUUAUGUUUGCGUGAGAGGAUAAUGUAAAAAAAGUGGCACUUUUAUUCAACUGAAUAAAUUUCACAAUUUAAAUUAGAAAAGGAUAAAAUUUAAUAAUUAACUAUUUUUUGAACUAAUUCAAUCGGGAGCCAUUAUUUGUAGGCUGUAGCGGUCCCAAAAGCAUGACAUUAUUGUGAGUAAUGUAUCCUACUUGCAAAAUAAACGGCAGAAUGCGGUUUGGGGACGGAUUAUCGAGGUAUUUGUUAAUAUUCGGAAAUGAGAAGAAAAGGUCAAAUAAAAUUUUAACUUAUUAUUAUUAUUAUUAAAGAUUGUAACUCAGAUGAUUAGACAAAUAAAGGAGCUAAAGGCCACUUGGCGGCUUCACUAGGAGCUGUUUGAGUUUAAUUCUAUUGGUAAAAUUCUAUUUUGGUAAUUCUAUUCUUCUUCUUUUCAACCCCAAAUAAUCAAAAGCUCUCCAAUGGCUUUCGUAUCCACAACUCGUCCAUUUCAUUUUACUUCAAUUUCAGUAUCAGCUCUUAGAUGUAAUUUCUCAUCUUCGUUCCCUCAUACCAGAAAACCCACAUCUUCAAUUUCGGAAAAUGAACCCUCAUAUCCGACCGCAACAGCUAAACUGAAGGAGUCGCUACGACUGACAGUCAAAGACGGAGCCUCACUCGAAAAAUUUCUUAAAGAAAGGUGCAAAUCAUCAGGUCAAGGUGAUAUUAAUCUUAUUACUCCUAAUGAAGCCUUGUGUAUCUUUGAUUACAUGCUCCGUAUGCACCCUUCUCCGCCUCCUGUCUCUUCCUUCAAUAUUUUGUUUGGUUGUCUUGCUAAGAAUAAACAUUAUGAUACUGUCCUUUCACUCUUCAAGAGACUCAAUUCAAUUGGGUUGUUUCCAGAUCUUUAUACUUAUAGUAUCUUGAUUAACUGCUUUUGCAAAAUGGGUCGAGUUUCUCCUGGUUUUGUUGUUCUUGGGAGAAUCCUCAGGUCUUGUUUUACUCCAAAUGCUGUGACCUUUACUUCUUUGAUUAAAGGUUUGUGUGCGGAGGGUAGAAUCAUGGAGGCCGCUGCAUUGUUUAUGAAACUUAGAGUGUUUGGUUGUGAGCCUAAUGUUUUUACAUACAAUACUUUGAUUAAUGGAUUGUGUCGAACUGGCCAUACAAUUGUUGCUCUAAAUUUAUUUGAAGAGAUGGCUAAUGGAAAUGGGGAAUUUGGUGUUGUUUGUAAGCCAAACACUGUUACAUACACUACUAUUAUCGAUGGUCUUUGUAAGGAAGGUUUUGUGGACAAGGCCAAGGAACUGUUUCUGAAGAUGAAGGAUGAGAAUAUUAACCCCAAUGUGGUUACUUAUAACUCUUUGAUUCACGGUUUUUGUUACGCUAAUGAUUGGAAUGAGGCGAAGUGUUUGUUUAUUGAGAUGAUGGACCAAGGGGUACAGCCGAAUGUUGUGUCUUUUAAUGUGAUCAUGAAUGAGCUUUGUAAAAAUGGGAAGAUGGACGAAGCAAGUAGGCUGUUAGAAUUGAUGAUUCAGAUUGGUGUGCGUCCAAAUGCUUUUGUCUAUAACACAUUAAUGGACGGGUUUUGUUUGACAGGUAGAGUUAAUCGUGCGAAGGAACUAUUUGUUUCUAUGGAGAGUAUGGGUUGCAAACAUAAUGUUUUUAGUUACAGUAUUUUGAUAAAUGGUUACUGCAAGAAUAAGGAAAUAGAGGGAGCGUUAAGCCUUUAUAGCGAAAUGCUCUCUAAAGGUAUUAAGCCAGAUGUUGUUAUAUAUAACACCUUGUUUAUUGGCCUUUUUGAAAUACACCAGGUUGAGCGUGCUUUCAAGCUGUUUGAUGAGAUGCAACGUCAUGGCGUGGCAGCUGAUACCUGGGCGUAUAGAACCUUUAUUGAUGGGCUCUGCAAGAAUGGUUAUAUUGUAGAGGCAGUUGAACUAUUUCGUACUUUGAGAAUUCUCAAGUAUGAACUUGAUAUUCGAGCCUACAACUGCCUCAUUGAUGGAUUAUGUAAAUCCGGCAGACUCAAAAUUGCAUGGGAACUAUUUCGUAGUUUGCCUCGUGGAGUCCUAAUAGCAGAUGUUGUAACAUAUAACAUCAUGAUCCACGCGCUUUGUGCUGAUGGAAAAAUGGACAAGGCACGUGAUUUGUUUCUGGAUAUGGAAGCAAAAGGUGUAGCACCCAAUUGUGUCACAUUUAACACGCUGAUGCUAAGUUGCAUCCGCAAUAAUGAGACAUCAAAAGUUGUUGAACUCCUUCACAGAAUGGAUGAGAGAAAUGUAAUACCAGAUGCAUCUACACUUUCAAUUGUUGUGGACUUACUUGUAAAGAAUGAAAUUAGCUUAAACUCGAUUCCACAAUUCAAGAGUCAAAGGUAAGUGAGUUUAAUAUUGAUUUAGUCGCAUGUUUUUUCUGCCUGAAAACCCCGAUCUGGAGGAUCCCAUUCUUAUUAACACAUGUAAAGGAGUGUUGUCUAAUGUUGGCAUGUUCCUAGGUUCUGUCCAUGGAUUCUGUUUGCGGACAUGGCUAACUUCUUGUCCAACAGAUAAGUUUUAAAGUCUUUCAACUUUAUGUUGUAAAAUAACAUUUUUAUUAUUCAAUUCAUGAGUUUUCCUUCUGUAUCACAUACUUCUCAUUAGCUGGAAGCGCAAAUUUUUUAGGCUUUUCCUGUAUGGCCUCUUUUUCUGCUCUAAAUAAAAUGGCAUUUUAUUUCUCUCUUGUGAGGGUACAAGGUUUAUGUUUAAACUUUCUGUUAGUUAAUUUGGUUGUCUUUGAUAUAGGGAACUUCCAGUUGAACUGAUUUGUAAUUCGAGUAUAUGAGAUUACCAACUGUAUUGGGAAUUGAUGCCAAAUUAAUUAUGUCAUCAGGUUUUUCAAUCAGUGUUCAUCAUUUAUUUCUGUUAACAAUUAAUAGCACAGCUUGACUUCUCAGCUUCAUUGGUUCCUCUCAAAAAUAAUCUUGUAAAGACAAUCUUUCUUGGGCAUGGAAAAUGCUAGAUUGUUACAUGGCAUUCAAUUGAAUGAGGACUCAUGAUUGUGUGUAUUGGUAUUUGUUAUACUAUGUAUUGGCAAGACAAAGUUUCUUGAAACUGACAAACUUUUCUCUAUGAAGAUUGAAGAAAAUAUGAUAAGAUAAAAUUUAUCAAAAGCAUAUAUGCUUGCCAGGGAUGGACCUUUGAUUAUUAGUCCUCGCCUUUCGUGCUUGUCUGUUCUGUGAAAUAAUUCAUUCUCCAUGCUGCUAGGGCCUAGGCUUAUGACUCUUCUUUGAAAUAAUUCAUUCUCCACAAUGUGAAAAAAAUGCUUGAAACACGACACAGACUUAACUGUUUACAGGAAAAGCGGCAGAAACUUGUGAAAUUACCGAUUAAAAAGUACCUACCAUGAGGAAGAUGCUAUACAACUCACUCGGAAAAUGUAAAAUGGUUAACAGACAUCCAAGAUGAUCAACCAGAAACACAAUUCAGAACAUGGGCUGCUUUUGGUUACCCGGCUUUCAGAUUAGGAGAUUAGGAUCCUAAAUGCUUUGAUCUACCUGAAAAGUAUACAAAUAUCAGAGUUAAAACAGAGCAGAUGAAAACGUAUUGAUGAACUCAACUGAGAUAAAUGACAAAAGAAAACUAACUUUUCCUGUACAAAACUCGCACACCUUCCUUUAAGAGCUGACUUUCCAAGAAGAGAUCACCACAAUCGUUCACAUCAACAGUCUCCACUUGAAAAUUUUUAUAACCACAAUAGUCAUUCCAUUCAAACCACAUCCUUGAGAUCAGUUCCUUCUUCAAGCAAGUAGGAUGGUCUUCCUCUUGAGGAGGCUCAGCAGCAACCAAUCUAUAUGCAUAAACUUUCUUUGUUUGGCCUGGCCGGAAAGGCCUGCCGAUUGCUUGGCGGGUUUCUGAUGGAGUAAAGGUAACAUCCAGAAUAAUGAUCCAAAUUUUUGUGGACUUACAUGCAAAGAAUGAAAUUGGUUUAAACUCGAUUCCACAAUUCAAGAGUUAAUGAGUUUAUCUUGAUUCUGUAGCAUGUCUCUUCUGCUUUAAAACCAGAUCUGGGGAAUCCCAUUCUCAUUACAACAUGUGAAGGAGUGUUUGUGUAUUGUUGGCAUGUUCCCAGGUUCUGUUCACGGAUUCUGUUUGCAGACAUGGCUAACUCCUCGUUUCAUCAGAUAAGUUUCAAAGUCUGGCAACUUUUUGUUGUAAAAAUAACUAUUUCAUUAUUCAAUUCAUGAGUUUUCCUUCUAUGGUGCAUCUUUCUCAUUAGCUGUAGUUUCAAAAUUUUUAGACUGAUUUGUAAUUCGAGUAUAUGAGAUUACCAACUGUAUUGGGAAUUGAUGCCAAAUUAAUUAUGUCAUCAGGUUUUUCAAUCAGUGUUCAUCAUUUAUUUCUGUUAACAAUUAAUAGCACAGCUUGUCUUCGCAGCUUCAUUGGUUCCUCUCAAAAAUAAUCUUGUAAAGACAAUUUUUGUUUUUUGGCAUGUUAAAUGCUAGAUUGUUUGUGUGUAUCGGUAUUUGUUAUACUAUGUAUUGGCAAGACAGUUUCUUGAAACUGACAAACUUUUCUCUAUGAAGAUUGAAGACAAUAUGAUAAGAUAAACUUUAACAAAAGCAUAGAUGCUUGCCAGCGCUGGACCUUUGAUUAAUAGUCCUCGCCUUUCGUUCUUGUUUCAUAUUCUUCUGCUAACAAAUCUUGAUCAUGAUUGUCUUCUCUUUUCUUUGCAACCCACAUAUAAAGUCUCGGCCAUAAGCCUCGAGGCCUAUUCUCUUUUGUAAAGGUGAGUUGAAGAAACUGCAAGGGACUCCAAAGCAAAUGGUGUAGAGCACCUUUCACUUAUCACGGGCACAGGAUUACUCUGACUUUCUGCAUUUUACUGUUGGCUAUGGUUUGAUGCAUUAUUUAUUGUUCUGAAAUACCAUUCUCGUUGGAAGUUCAAUCAUUACUGUUUCUUUUUUCCCCCCUUUUUACUUGAAGUUACCUGAAGCUCCAAUCGAACGAGUAAUGUAAUGUAGGUGUUGACCAACUCCAAAUAAGUAGUUAGUUGCCUAGUAGUUGCUUUGCAUGAAAUAUGUUUUUGGUAUGAAUAAUGUUGUCUUAAUUUUACAAGCUUCCAUGGAACUCCUAAUUUGUUGGAAGUAUUAACUCAACCCGUCAUUUAAGGUUAGAUUUAACCAUUGACUUAUGUUGACUAUUAAAAGUAUUAUAAUAUUCUAUAAAUAUAACGAAACCCCCCUUUAUUAACAAAUAUAAUUUAAAAUAUAAAAAAUUAAUAAUAAAAAAUAACAAAGUUGAAAUCCAAGGAGCAACUUCUAUCCCCUAACCAAGUUAUUAAAUAUUAGAGUAGAUAGAGGCAUAUACUUUUCUUCAUGAUUCAGAAUCAUAUCUCAAAUAAAAUUCUCAAUGAUUGCAGGCCUCAAUACCAUUAAGAUGAACUAGACUAUCAUGAAAUUUUGUGCAUCUUGCAAGGUCCAAUUUCUCCAAGUUUAUCAUCAAGCCAAAAAAUGUCAUAAUUCCUUUUAUAGUAAUUUCAUAGUGUUUACUAAACGGUAAUAGAAAUGGACUGAAACACAAAUAGGGAAUGCAAGUUAGAAUAAGGAUGGCAAUGGUGAGGGGGGAGGGGACCAACAUCCUUGUACCCAUCCCUGAUGUUCUGUAUAUGUCCCCAUCCCCUUCCCGUCCCCAUCAAAAUUACUUAAGGGAAUUCACGUCCUCCCUCUGAAUAAUAACAGGGAAUCCCCAAAGGUCCCCGAUCCCCAAAUAACUGAUAUAUUUGUUUAGUUUUCAAACUUAAUUUAAUCAUAUUAAGCUAAAAAUAUAUAAAAUAAAAUGAAAAUGAUCAUGAAUGCGCCUUAUAUUUCAUUCAACUCCUUCAAACUUUUGGUAUAUAUAAUAUUCAAAUAAUGAUUUUCAAAACAAAAUUCAAAUAAUGUGAUUUUUAUACAAUAUUGACGUGAUUGUUGUCCAUGAGUAACGAUACCUACUGAUCACCGACUAUGAUGCAACAAAGCCGCAUGUGUGGCUGCUAGUUGACAUUGCGAUGAGUUAGUGUAACCCCCACUUUUAUUUAUUUAUUUUUUUCCUCUUUUGCCCUUAUUAAACUGAGUAGGAUAGUUAUUAUUGAGUGUUUGUGUGUGAGUAAAAUUUAUCGGAUUGUUUUAAAUAAGUUACGUAAGUUAUUUUUUUAAAAAAAAAAUAUUUAUUAAUUACCAAGUAUUUAAGAGAAAACCAUAUUUUUAAGAAGCCGUUUUUUAUUUUUCUUACACCGUUACAAACCCUAGAAAGAAAAGAAAGAAAUAUAAGUCUUUGCAAAAGGAAAAGAAAGUUUUAUCACUUCUUUUCUUAGUGUUUGCUUUAAGGUAUUAAGUAUUUCUUCGACUUAUAUGAUUUAUUUUUAUGAAAUUGUUUGCAUUUAAUUACUUGUAGUAUGAAUUGGGUAAUAUAUGUGUUUGUAAUGUUGUGAUGAUAUGAACAGUCUCUAUUCCUUGCUUGAAAUCGUUUUCUUUAUUUAGAAUCACGUGAAUAUCUUACAUAUCAUGGAACUAGACAUCCUAGGCUUUCCAUUGAUAGGUUUUGUGUUGAAAUCGCCUGAGAAUGCAAAUUCUUAUGGGUUUUCGAAGUUGGGUUACUGGUGCUGGAAAAUUCCGAUUUUCAGCAGCGGUUCUCAACUCUGGAAAUUUUUCUAUAAGGUUACACAUCCUUAAAAAUUAUGCUGAUUUUUGUGCCAACAGAUCUAUGUCUCCUAUGCUUGCAUGUUUAAUUUCGUAGUUUUAUUCUUUAUGGUUGAAUUAUUAAAAAUCGUAACAUAUGGCUGCUGCAAAUCUGGAGACUGUUAUCCAGAAUUUCAGAAGCUGAAACGUGUAACAGUUGAGCUAGUUUAUGAAUAUUACAUGCCAUGUUAGGAUUUUAUAAUGAAAUUUCAAUCUUUCCUCUGUCUUUAAAAACUGGAAUCGCGAUUUUUGGGCAUGUAAAAUAAAAGAUACGAAUUUUUGAAAUUCUGUUUUCAAAUCUGGAAUUUUCUGGACGGGUUAGAUGUUCUCGGAAAUAAAACGUUUUAAAAUAGUCUCAGGAGUCCAAAAAUUAUGAAUUUUAAUUAUAUGCUUUUUGAAUGUGUCUUCUGUAAUUAGAAAAAAAGAUGCAUAUUACUUCGAGUACCAAAGAAUAUUUUAUGAAUUUUCUAAGUGGAAAAGGUCUGUUUUGGUCAGUGCUGGACAGUUUUGUUACUUUGGUGAAAGGUCAAUAUUCUGACUCGAUUUUGACUUGUGCUGAUUUUUGUGAAAUAUUGUAUGCAAUGCUAUGCAUGUUCACAGUGCCUCUGUAAAUUUUCAUGGUUUUCCGACAUGUGUAUAGGUUAUUAAAAAUCAUCAUGUGCAGGAUACUCAUAAGUAUAGGAUAUGUUUAGAAUAUGUAUAAGUAUUAAGCUAGUAUUAGUGUCUAUGAUUUAAGGAUGAUUGGGAUUAUAUUUAAGGUUAGAGAUGAUAUUGAUAAGAAUAUUUUUAUGAUGAUUAUAGGACGUGGGUGAGCUCGUUGGUUGUUCUUGAGGUAUUGAAUUGAUUGCUACGGAUCGAGGUAAGUAGAUUCAUGCAUAAUGUGCUUUAUAAUAAAUGCAAUUUAUGUUACAAAAAUUAUGUUUAAAUGGAAAUUUUUACAAAACUGAUUUCUAAAAUAUUUAAAUGAAUUUUGUAAAAUAAAAACACUUUUAAAUGAAUUUAUAUAAAUGAAUUUUAAAAUGAAUUUUUCUUAAGAAAUGAGUUUUCUUAAACAAAAUAUUUUCUUAAAGAAUUUUCUAAAAGAAUUAAAUGAUCAAAGAAAGGUUCUUAAAUGUUUUAGAAAACUUUAAAAGCUAUUUAUGAAAGGAUUUAAGGUGGAUUCAAAAUGUUUUGGCUUAUAGUCCGUAGUAAUGUAUACAAUGGAAAUGUUAUGAUGUUAUGUAAUAUUAUGGUCAGCUUGCUGGUACGAUGAUGGUCUUGUGCACAAGGAUGUUAUGAACAAUGUGGGACAUAGUACCCUAAAUGAGGAACAAUGCGGGGUAUAACACCCUAAAUGAUGAAUGAUGAUGAUUAUGAGGCAUGAGCUACCAAUGUUUACGCUUUAAUGUUUUCAUAAAUGUUUUAAUGUUUUUAUAUGAAUCCACCCCUUAUGUUAAAUGAAGAUGUUGUUAUAAAAUGUUUAAAGGUAUAUGACAAAGGUUUUCAAAUAUUGUGCAUGGAUUUGAUUACCGAGUUGACGGCUCACCCCUCGUCUCCAAUAUUUUACAGAUUGAUUAGAGAUAUGGCUUGGGUUCUUAGACGGAGAAUUUUUCUUAGUGGAUCUUUAGAGUUGUUUUAAAGAUUAAAUUUGGCUAGACUUCCUAUUUUGCAUUAGAGACUUUUCUUUGGAGACCUUAUUUCAUAUGUUUUAUGUAAGGAUUCAGUUGGAGUAUGAAUAAUGAUUGUUUAUCUUGAGAUUUAUUAAUAAGAAUAAAUGAUGUGAGGUUUCAUUCCAAUUUUACCCUUGUGUUUUCAUGAGUAAUUUUUGGGGUGUUACAGUUAGGCUACUCGGACACCGACAACGCAAUGUGCUACUGGGCUAUGAUGAGAUGAAGACGAGUUGCGUGCUUACUACUGCAUGAAUAAUUUGGAAAUUAUGAGCAAGACUGUGAGAAAGUGAUUUAGAGUUUGAUUUGUGAGUUAUGAGCUUGUGGGAUUGUGUGCUUUUGGUUGUAAUUAAGUCUAAAUUAUAUUAAACAUUUUAUAUUAACUAAUAUUUGUAUUAUUUGUAUAAAUAUUUUGAUAUUUGUUAUUUACACCAAUAUUUUAUAUUUUACAAUUUAAAAUUUAUUAUUUAUUGACUAAUAAUUCUAAAAAAAUAAAAAUAAAAUAAAAUAUUAAAAUAGGGAAAUGGGGAGGGGACGGGGAUUCCACCUCAUCCCCAUCCCUUCCCUGAAUAAGUAAUUGGGUAAAAAAUCGUCUUCGUCCCUUCCCCGAAUAAGAAGUUUGGCAUAAAAUCGUCCAUGUACCCUCCCCAAAUAGGAAAAAUCUCCAAGGGCCCCCAUCCCCAUGGGGAUUCCUGCCAUUUCUAAAUUAGAAUAAAUUAUUUACUUGAACUGUAGGAAUCAGAAUAAAAAUAAGCUGGAUUGUCAUUGAUGUGUCUAUUUUGUCUUGGAAUUGAAAUCAAAAUGAGUUACAUUUUAACAACUUACUAAAAAGUGCUUAAUGAGCUAUUGUCAUAAUUAUUAUUUUAUAUUUUAAUUAUGGUAAUUAUUUAUUCAAAAAUUAUAAUAAUUAUUAUUGUUAAUAAUAUAUUCAUAUAUUAAUUAAUUGAAAAUUAUUUAAAUUAAUUAAUUAUUAAUAUAUUAAUUGAUUAAUUAUAAUAAUACAUUAAUUAAUUAUAACUGAGGACAAAAUAAAUAUUUUUUAUUUUGUGAGGGGGCAAAAUGGUCAUUCCAAGGAAUGGGAGACUAAUUCCCGCCUCCCUUGGGAAUUAAUCUUCCAUUUGCCAUAAAAAAAAAAAAGCUUUCUAACAAGAUAUCAAAAUGGUUAAUAAGAAGAGCAGUAGUAAUGGGGUAAAAGCUCGUUUAGUCCCUAUAUUUUGAGGUUAGUACUUGUUUAGUCCCUAUAUUUUUAAAAAUGCUUCAAAACAUCUUUGUCGUUAAAUUAUUGACACCCCUGUCUUUACUUUGUAUUCCUUUUAGCUUACUUUUACAAUAUUACCAUUUUUGCAAUAUUGUUUAAUUUUUUGGACAUUAAUAAUAAAUAAAAUUACCAAUUUAACCCCAAAAAUAAAAUAAAGACAAAGAAAAUAUAUAUUAAUCUUUGUCGAAACUAUGUCAAAAAAAUAAAUAUUGUAAAAAAAAUUUAACUACUAAUUUUUUAGACAUUAAUAAAAAAAUUAAUAUAUUAAUUCCUCGUGGAGUAUUCAAAAAAAUUAAUAUAGAUUUUUUUUUUGUUUCUAUUUUACUUUUUUGGGUUAAAUUGAUAAUUUGAUUUUUCUUGUUAUUAAUGUGCAAUAAAGAAUAAAUAUUAUUGUACGGGGGUAAUAUUGUAAAAGUAAGUUAAAAAGAACAAAAAAUAACGGUAAGGGUGUCAAUAUUUAACGAUAAGGAUGUUUUAAGGCAUUUUUAAAAAUAUAGAGACUAAAUAGGUAUUAAUCUCAAAAUAUAAGGAUUAAACGAGAUUUUACCCUUAAUAAUGUUACGAGGGGGUUCAAAUGGAGGGGGAUGGGUAUUUCCAAAUUUGUAUCCAUUAAUUUUUUUAAAACUCAUAUCUGUCACUUGUUAUUAUUUUAAGGGAAAUUAUCAGUCAUAUACCUUAAGUUGACAAAACACUUCUACCGUCCACCAUUCCUUUAACUUCCAUUUGCAAGCGUUGACUUCAUAAGGGUAAUUUAGUCUUUUAAGACUGACGAAACUUUGAUAAAAAAAACGGCAUGUCAUCCCAUUUACCGAAUAAAAAAUGACAUGUCAUAUGAUAUAUAUUGAUAAAAAUAACAUGUCAUUCCACUUAUCGGUUAAUUGUUAAUAAUUGCUAAAAAAAACUAUUUUACAACUGAAUCUACUCCUCCAAAAUUUAACUUAAAUUUUUGAAGAUCUACUCCUCCAAGCUCCAACUUGAAAUUUUUAUGGUAUAAUAUGUAUAAUUGUAAAUAAUAUGUUGUUAAUAAUUUUUUAUGGUAUAAUAUGGAUAUUUUUUAUGGAUAAUUGUUAAUACUAUGUACCAUUAAUAAUUCAUUUUUUAAUCAAAAAAUGUAUUGGUAAUAACAAAAUAAAAAAAAUUAUGUAUUGAAAAUUUACGUUAAUUUUUGGGAUAAAUUUAUUUUUUUUACCUCAUUUUGAGUUUUAAGGGCAAAAUAGUCAAUUUACCACAAUUCUGUUAACUUUCUAACAGAAGUUAAUAGAAUGGUGGACGGCAGAAGUAUUUUGUCAACUUAGGGUAUACGAGUAAUACACUUGAAAAGUAUUCACACACGUUUGAUACGGGUAUCAUUUAAGGGUAUAUAGCUGAUAAUUUCCCUUAUUUUAAAUAUCAAACUUGUCAACCCUUAGGGGAAACAAGUAUUUAACGGACUUUGUGCGGCUAAUUCUCAUCAUUCGCUACUCUAAAUUUUAUUUUACAGAUUUGUGCAUCAUUUAUAACAUUUAAUUAAAUACACUUAAAUUAUAUAGAUUCAACGGUUCAACCUUCAUAUAUCACAUGAAAAGAAUACUGAAUUUUUAACAUCUCUCAUCAAGAGAUUGUACUGUGCUUACUCAAUUAGAUACUAAGGUGGCGUUUUUUUUUUAACUUAAUGACUUAAAGUGACUUAACUUAAUUAAUUAAGUUAAUUAGAGGUGUUUGUUUUUAUAACUCAAUGAGACUUUGUAGAUAAUUUUGACUUAAUAAAAUAAGCUAAUUUUUUUUUGCUUUUUACUUAAUGGAGAAAUUUGAAUUAAGUCAAUUACUUACUAAUGUAAAAAAUAUUCAUGUUUUAUAAUUUAUUUUUCAUGUCUAUCCCAAAACUCACCUAUAGACAUUUACUCCACAUAAAAAUAUCCAUGUUUUUUCUUUCUUAUAUUAUAUACGAUAAAAUUUAAAAUUUAUGGUAUUUUAUAUAUUAAAAUUCUAAAAUAAUUAUGUAUUCACUUGAAUAUAGUUUUACUUAUAAAUGUUAAAAUAUUGUGGUAUUUAAUAUAUUAUUUAUUUGACAUUCAAAUUUGAUAUGGAUACAAAUGUAAAAGUACAUAUUUUCAGUUUUUUCAGUUGAAAAAAACAAACAACUUAAUACUUAUUUUCCGAGAUUCAGAUGAAAAAAUAAACAUAUUAUUUAGAUUCAGACAUUCAAAUCUAUUCAGAAUUCAGACUAAUUCAGGUCUAUUCAGAUUUCAGAUAAAAAAACAAACGACACCUAAGUUUAUACUCCAACUAAUGUGUUAAUAGUAUUUGAAUAAAAAAUGAUAAAACUUAAUAAUUAAUUAUUGCUUAAGUCAAUUAAAUAGUAUCAUAUCAUUUGUUAAAAAAAAAAAAAAUCUUUGUUGUUUCAAGAUUAUUAAUCCUUUUUCAUUUACUUAUUAUCAUUACUAUCUGCAACAAUCAUAAUGAUUUGCAUCAACAUGUGAUUGUUUUUUUGACUCCAAGAACAGCUUGUAAAUGUAAUUUCUCUUCUUCCCCACUCACCCUUGAAAACCCACUAUUUGUGUACUUCCAAAACGAUUUAUUGCUGACCGCCAAAGACCGAUACUCACUGGACAAAUUCCUAAAAGAAAGAUUCAAAUUCCAAUGUCUUAUACCUAUUUGAUUUGCAGUUCUUGUUAUGCUAAUGACUAGAAUGAGGCAAAGUGUUUUUUAAUUGAGAUGAUGGAUCUAAGGGUGCAGCAUGAUGUUGUGAUUUUCCAUGUUGGUCAUAUAUGAGCUUUGUGAAAAUAGAAAGAUAGAAGAAGCAUGUAGGUUUUUAGAAUCGCAUCAAUGGAUGGGUUUUGCUUGACCGAGGGAACUAUUUGUUUCUGUGGAGAAUAAAGGGUGCAGAAAUGAUGUUGCUAAAUACAACAAGUUGAUAAAUGGGUAAUGCAAGAAUAAGGAAGUAGAGGAAGCGUUAGGCCUUUGUAGCGAAAAGCUUUCUAAAAGAAUUCUCCUAGAAUAUGUUGGGGGGAUGGAGCAGCUGCCCCCAUCGCACCCUAAGCCAACAGACUCAAAAUUGGAUGGGAACUUUUUUCAUAGAUUAUUUCACGAACGCCCGAUUCCAAAUAUGUAACAUAUAACAUCAUGAUUCAUGGGCUUUGUAAAAAUGGGCAAAUGGAUACGGAAGCAAGGCGUACGACGCCCAGUUGUGUCAUGUUUACUAAGCUUAUGCGAAAGAAUGAGACAUCAAAAGUUAUUGAACUUCCUCACUCAAUGGAUAAGAGAAAUGUAAUGCGGGAUGCAUCUAUACUUGCAACUGUUGUGGACUUUCUUUUAAAGAAUGAUAUCCGUUUAAACUCGAUUCCAGAAUUCAAAAGCCAAAAUUGAAUAUUGAUUUAGUAGCAUGUUUUUCUGCCUGCUGAAAAUCGGAUAUGGAGGAUCCGUUUCAUUAUACCAAAUGUGAAGGAGUGUCACGUUGUGAGGGCAAGGUAAAAUCCUCGCCAUCUGGUUCGGUUCACCAAAGAAACUUCCCCAUUAAUUUCUUGAAAAAGUUAAGUUAAAACUGUAAAUGAAAGAAUCAUGAUGAUCUGUUUUGGUUUGUGAGAUGUUAGAAAGAGGUCAUUGUUUAUUAAGUGGAAAUAAAAAUGAGGGAAUGAGAUUCAUUAAUUUGUUUACUUAUAAAUAGAGGAGGAGAAUUGAGAAUUAAAUUUGUUGGCCUCACAUCAAUUUAUGAAUAACUCUUGGAUUUCUAAUUUCUAAGGGAGAUUUGGAAUCUACAUCUCAUUUACAAUCUACCCAAUUGUAAUAAUUUUCAUUUUGUCAUUCUUUUAAAUAUUUAAAAAAUAAAUAAAAAUCGCAUGAGUACUGUGCAAAGAUGGAUUGUUCUUGUUAUUGUUGAUGUUAUUAUUACUAGCACCGAAUUACAUAUUAUUAAAUUAGUUUAAAUAUUACAAAUUAAAUUAUUUUUAAAUGAGUGAUAAAACCUGAUCAUUUAAUAACCAUGGCCAUUUAACAGAUUUAAACAUAAAAUUUCGUGUCAAAUUAUGUUUGAGUAUAAGGAUAAUGUAAGAUAAUUGGUACUUUAAUUUACAUUUAUGUGCNNNNNNNNNNNNNNNNNNNNNNNNNNNNNNNNNNNNNNNNNNNNNNNNNNNNNNNNNNNNNNNNNNNNNNNNNNNNNNNNNNNNNNNNNNNNNNNNNNNNNNNNNNNNNNNNNNNNNNNNNNNNNNNNNNNNNNNNNNNNNNNNNNNNNNNNNNNNNNNNNNNNNNNNNNNNNNNNNNNNNNNNNNNNNNNNNNNNNNNNNNNNNNNNNNNNNNNNNNNNNNNNNNNNNNNNNNNNNNNNNNNNNNNNNNNNNNNNNNNNNNNNNNNNNNNNNNNNNNNNNNNNNNNNNNNNNNNNNNNNNNNNNNNNNNNNNNNNNNNNNNNNNNNNNNNNNNNNNNNNNNNNNNNNNNNNNNNNNNNNNNNNNNNNNNNNNNNNNNNNNNNNNNNNNNNNNNNNNNNNNNNNNNNNNNNNNNNNNNNNNNNNNNNNNNNNNNNNNNNNNNNNNNNNNNNNNNNNNNNNNNNNNNNNNNNNNNNNNNNNNNNNNNNNNNNNNNNNNNNNNNNNNNNNNNNNNNNNNNNNNNNNNNNNNNNNNNNNNNNNNNNNNNNNNNNNNNNNNNNNNNNNNNNNNNNNNNNNNNNNNNNNNNNNNNNNNNNNNNNNNNNNNNNNNNNNNNNNNNNNNNNNNNNNNNNNNNNNNNNNNNNNNNNNNNNNNNNNNNNNNNNNNNNNNNNNNNNNNNNNNNNNNNNNNNNNNNNNNNNNNNNNNNNNNNNNNNNNNNNNNNNNNNNNNNNNNNNNNNNNNNNNNNNNNNNNNNNNNNNNNNNNNNNNNNNNNNNNNNNNNNNNNNNNNNNNNNNNNNNNNNNNNNNNNNNNNNNNNNNNNNNNNNNNNNNNNNNNNNNNNNNNNNNNNNNNNNNNNNNNNNNNNNNNNNNNNNNNNNNNNNNNNNNNNNNNNNNNNNNNNNNNNNNNNNNNNNNNNNNNNNNNNNNNNNNNNNNNNNNNNNNNNNNNNNNNNNNNNNNNNNNNNNNNNNNNNNNNNNNNNNNNNNNNNNNNNNNNNNNNNNNNNNNNNNNNNNNNNNNNNNNNNNNNNNNNNNNNNNNNNNNNNNNNNNNNNNNNNNNNNNNNNNNNNNNNNNNNNNNNNNNNNNNNNNNNNNNNNNNNNNNNNNNNNNNNNNNNNNNNNNNNNNNNNNNNNNNNNNNNNNNNNNNNNNNNNNNNNNNNNNNNNNNNNNNNNNNNNNNNNNNNNNNNNNNNNNNNNNNNNNNNNNNNNNNNNNNNNNNNNNNNNNNNNNNNNNNNNNNNNNNNNNNNNNNNNNNNNNNNNNNNNNNNNNNNNNNNNNNNNNNNNNNNNNNNNNNNNNNNNNNNNNNNNNNNNNNNNNNNNNNNNNNNNNNNNNNNNNNNNNNNNNNNNNNNNNNNNNNNNNNNNNNNNNNNNNNNNNNNNNNNNNNNNNNNNNNNNNNNNNNNNNNNNNNNNNNNNNNNNNNNNNNNNNNNNNNNNNNNNNNNNNNNNNNNNNNNNNNNNNNNNNNNNNNNNNNNNNNNNNNNNNNNNNNNNNNNNNNNNNNNNNNNNNNNNNNNNNNNNNNNNNNNNNNNNNNNNNNNNNNNNNNNNNNNNNNNNNNNNNNNNNNNNNNNNNNNNNNNNNNNNNNNNNNNNNNNNNNNNNNNNNNNNNNNNNNNNNNNNNNNNNNNNNNNNNNNNNNNNNNNNNNNNNNNNNNNNNNNNNNNNNNNNNNNNNNNNNNNNNNNNNNNNNNNNNNNNNNNNNNNNNNNNNNNNNNNNNNNNNNNNNNNNNNNNNNNNNNNNNNNNNNNNNNNNNNNNNNNNNNNNNNNNNNNNNNNNNNNNNNNNNNNNNNNNNNNNNNNNNNNNNNNNNNNNNNNNNNNNNNNNNNNNNNNNNNNNNNNNNNNNNNNNNNNNNNNNNNNNNNNNNNNNNNNNNNNNNNNNNNNNNNNNNNNNNNNNNNNNNNNNNNNNNNNNNNNNNNNNNNNNNNNNNNNNNNNNNNNNNNNNNNNNNNNNNNNNNNNNNNNNNNNNNNNNNNNNNNNNNNNNNNNNNNNNNNNNNNNNNNNNNNNNNNNNNNNNNNNNNNNNNNNNNNNNNNNNNNNNNNNNNNNNNNNNNNNNNNNNNNNNNNNNNNNNNNNNNNNNNNNNNNNNNNNNNNNNNNNNNNNNNNNNNNNNNNNNNNNNNNNNNNNNNNNNNNNNNNNNNNNNNNNNNNNNNNNNNNNNNNNNNNNNNNNNNNNNNNNNNNNNNNNNNNNNNNNNNNNNNNNNNNNNNNNNNNNNNNNNNNNNNNNNNNNNNNNNNNNNNNNNNNNNNNNNNNNNNNNNNNNNNNNNNNNNNNNNNNNNNNNNNNNNNNNNNNNNNNNNNNNNNNNNNNNNNNNNNNNNNNNNNNNNNNNNNNNNNNNNNNNNNNNNNNNNNNNNNNNNNNNNNNNNNNNNNNNNNNNNNNNNNNNNNNNNNNNNNNNNNNNNNNNNNNNNNNNNNNNNNNNNNNNNNNNNNNNNNNNNNNNNNNNNNNNNNNNNNNNNNNNNNNNNNNNNNNNNNNNNNNNNNNNNNNNNNNNNNNNNNNNNNNNNNNNNNNNNNNNNNNNNNNNNNNNNNNNNNNNNNNNNNNNNNNNNNNNNNNNNCUUCCUUCAAUAUUUUGUUUGGUUGUCUUGCUAAGACUAAACAUUAUGAUACUGUCCUUUCACUAUUCAAGAGACUCAAUUCCACUGGGUUGUUUCCGGAUCGUUAUACUUACAAUAUCUUGAUUAACUGCUUUUGCAAAAUGGGUCGAGUUUCUCAUGGUUUUGUUGUUCUUGGGAGAAUCCUCAGGUCUUGUUUUACUCCAGAUGCUGUGACCUUUAAUUCUUUGAUUAAAGGUUUGUGUGUGGAGAGUAGAAUCAUGGAGGCCGCUGCAUUGUUUACAAAACUUAGAGUGUUUGGUUGUGAGCCUGAUGUCAUUACGUACAAUACUUUGAUUAAUGGAUUGUGUCGAACCGGCCAUACAAUUGUUGCUCUAAAUUUAUUUGAAGAGACGGCCAAUGGAAAUAGGAAAUUUGGUGUUGUUUGUAAGCCAGACGCUAUUACAUACAAUACUAUUAUAGAUGGUCUUUGUAAGGAAGGUUUUGUGGACAAGGCCAAGGAACUGUUUCUGCAGAUGAAGGAUAAGAAUAUUAACCCAGAUGUGGUUACUUAUAACUCUUUGAUUCACGGUUUUUGUUACGCUAAUGAUUGGAACGAGGCGAAUUGUUUGCUUAUUGAGAUGAUGGAUCAAGGGGUACAGCCUGAUGUUGUGACUUUCAAUGUGAUCAUGGAUGAGCUCUGCAAGAAUGGGAAGAUGGAGUUGAGCGUGCUUUCAAGCUGUUUGAUGAGAUGCAACGUGAUGGCGUGGCAGCUGAUACCUGGACAUAUAGAACCUUUAUUGAUGGGCUCUGCAAGAAUAGUUAUAUCGUAGAGGCAGUUGAACUAUUUCGCACUUUGAGAAUUCUCAAGUGUGAACUUGAUAUUCGAGCCUACAACUGCCUCAUUGAUGGAUUAUGUAAAUCCGGCAGACUCGAAAUUGCAUGGGAACUAUUUUGUAGUUUGCCUCGUGGAGUCCUAAUAGCAGAUGUUGUAACCUAUAACAUCAUGAUCCAUGGGCUUUGUAACGAUGGGAAAAUGGACAAGGCGCAUGAUUUGUUUCUUGAUAUGGAAGCAAAAGGUGUAGCACCCAAUUGUGUCACAUUUAACACGCUGAUGCUAAGUUGCAUCCGCAAUAAUGAGACAUCAAAAGUUGUUGAACUCCUUCACAGAAUGGAUGAGAGAAAUGUAAUACCAGAUGCAUCUACACUUUCAAUUGUUGUGGACUUACUUGUAAAGAAUGAAAUUAGCUUAAACUCGAUUCCACAAUUCAAGAGUCAAAGUUAAAGUGAGUUUAUAUUGAUUUAGUCGCAUGUUUCUUCUGCCUGAAAACCCGAUCUGGAGGAUCCCAUUCUUAUUACAACAUGUAAAGGAGCGUUGUCUAAUGUUGGCAUGUUCCUAGGUUCUGUCCAUGGAUUCUGUUUGCAGACAUGGCUAACUUCUUGUCCAACAGAUAAGUUUUAAAGUCUUUCAACUUUAUGUUGUAAAAUAACAUUUUUAUUAUUCAAUUCAUGAGUUUUCCUUCUGUAACACAUCCUUCUCAUUAGCUGGAAGUGCAAAUUUUUUAGGCUUUUCCUGUAUGGCCUCUUUUUCUUCUCUAAAUAAAAUGGCAUUUUGUUUCCCUCCUGUGAGGGUACAACGUUUAUGUUCAAACUUUCUGUUAGUUAAGUUGGUUGUCUUUGAUAUAGGGAACUUCCAGUUGAACUGAUUUGUAAUUCGAGUAUAUGAGAUUACCAACUGUAUUGGGAAUUGAUGCCAAAUUAAUUAUGUCAUCAGGUUUUUCAAUCAGCGUUCAUCAUUUAUUUCUAUUAACAAUUAAUAGCACAGCUUGUCUUCUCAGCUUCAUUGAUUCCUCUAAAAAAUAAUCUUGUAAAGACAAUUUUUUUUUUUUUUUUUGGCAUGGUAAAUGCUAGAUAGUUUGUGGUCUGAAUGAUACUACACAUCUAAGUAAUUGCCCAAAUUGCCAUGUAACAAGGAGUGUUGCAUAGUGAUGUCAUGCUCACAGGUACCACUCAUCAACAUGGCCAACGCUUUCGAUGCAGUCAUUAUUAUGGAAAUUCAAGAGUUCUCCUCCUAAGAGGUCUCUCUCUCGUUCUCUUAAUUUCCUUAUUCUGUUUUGGAAGUAAUGUAAUGGGAAAAUAGCAUUUAAUUUCCUUGUGUCUGACAUUUUCUUCUAUAAAUGCUAUAAAAUAUCUUUUUUUUUCAUCAUUGAUAUGUAUUACACAAUCAGAAGACUACUCGUAUUUAUAUGAAACAUCUACUUUAUGGCACAGUUCAGAUUUUUAUCCUUAUAAAUAUUGGAGGGAUAUCUUUAUGUUUCUUCUGUGAUAACGUUUCUGCGUGCUGCAACCUUUUUAUUAGAUUGAUAGAAUGUGAAUACACGGAAAUUCUGUUUGAUAAUCUCGGCAAACCAGGAUUAAUAUGAAAUGGAGCGUCAUCAACAAAUACUUAGCAUAUUGCUGACUAUGAUUUGUUCUCCUCCCCUCAUUCUUUUUGUGAGUAGAAUUGGAUUGUGAAACUUGUUAUGUCAGCACAAGUGUUCUUACAAGUUGAUGUAAAAUACACUGACUUGAAAUAAUGGCAUGGUAAUUGGUAUAGAUAAGCUAGCAUGAGUAUAUUUUGUCACCAAUUUCGCCAACCGCGUCUGGGUGUGGAAAUUAUAUUGCAUUUCUAAUGUCAUUUGAAAGAAAAACUUGCAAAAUUUGUAAUUUGUUAAAUCUGAACCGUGGUUCACAUCUACUCUUCCCGAACUUGAGUCAUAUGAUUCAAUUUUUUAGUGGGCAUGGCGAGAUAGAUUUCUACCAAGCCCAACCCAUUUAUCUACCCUUUUGUAAUUUUCUAUCAUGCAUAUAUUUAUAUUUUUGUAUAGUUAAUAUCUAAUUAUUUAUGUAUUUUUAUCGAAUAACUACUAAUUAUAUUUUUCUAAAAAAUCGGCAUGAAAAGUUCAACUUAAUAUUGAAUUAAAUUUUGAUAAGUAUAUGUCAAAUGUUUGGAAUUCUUUUUCUAGUCUUCAUGAUUGAUUAAUUGGAAAAUAAAUGUGUAUGUAUUAAAAUGGUAUUGGAUAAACAUGCCCCUAUCACCCAAGUUUUCCUUUGGAUAAUUUCCUAACUUGCAAGUUGAUAUCGAUGUUUAAAAAGAACCAAAAAAAAAAAAAAAUACAUUGAAAUCUUUAUAAAUUAUUUCUUGACCUAAUAGUUGACACUUUCUCGCCUUAUUCUUGAGGUUGAAGGUUUGAAUUUUCUUAUGUGGAUUUUAGGUGAACUACAGAAAAACAGCUUAUAUGAGACAUUUUCAAAAUAAGUAUGAAUGUGGUACUUAUUCAUCAGAUGGACAUAUUAAUGACGUGAUAAAUUUAUAAUCCGCAAAAUUGUGGAUCAGAUAUAAAUUAAUGUCCAAUCCCUAAAAUCCGAUCCUCGAACACCUCUAUUACUUAGAGGCUCCCUUCUUCCAAAUUCAUAAUCUUCAACAUUUCUCCAACCAAUCAAGCAAGGCUAGAGAUAGGUAACAUACAUUUUGAUGUACAUUUGGCUUUUGUAUCAUUUACUUCACUAGUGAUCCAUUAAAUGGAUCCACCAUUAACGUAAAUGCUAGUUUAACUAUUGACAGUGGAGCAAGUAUGUAUGUGGUCCCUACGCACAAGCAUACACGCCCAUUAAAGCAUUACUCUCCUCAUCAUUGGAUAUGAAUUUUGUGAACUAUAUAUCUUUUUGGGGGUUUCAUUUAUCUUUCCGGUCUCUUAUGAUCAUUCACGGCUCCUGCUGCUGCUUCUUAUUGGCUCUUUGACAUCCUCUGUCUUGUUCUUGCUGUGUGUGUCAGCCACUAGCAACUGCUUCAAGCAAUGUGAGUUUGUUGCGUGAGCUUCCGUUUUGGUUAUUUUCAAUUAUUAUUUUUGUUGAUGGGUUUGUGAUUUUGUGCUGUAUUAUUACAGGAUUACACUGUUUAUAUGGAAGAGAGAAGAUAUGAUGAGCCUCAGCUGGUUCAGGAUUCGCACCAUCAGAUUCUUUCGGAUAUUCUUGGAAGGUUUAUAUUUCAAUCUCUUUAGCCGAAUUUACCUAUUAUAUUUUUAUCAUAUAAACGUUAUGCAAAAUGUUUAUGUUAAUGUAUGGCGAAAAUUGAAAAAUGGAAAAUAAAAAUAUUUGUGCUGCUUUCACUAUUUAUCUAUGUUAAUCUCUUUGAUAAAAUGAAGUGGAUGUCAUUAUUUCCAUGCAUCAGUAAUUACAAUCCAUAUUAUGCUCUUGCUAGUCUGUGCUCCAUUUGAACAUCGCAACGAACUUAUUUACUUACAUAUAUUUUGUGCUUUCUGGUUGGAAAUUGGAAGUUUUAACCAAUUUCUGAUCAGAAACAGCCCUUUUGAGUGCUAUGGCAGAAACCGCAGACGCGGCCUAACCUUCAUUUUUAAUUUGUAUCAAUUGGUAGUUUUUUAUCAUAUAAACGUUAUGCAAAACGUUUAUGUUAAUGUAUGGUGAAAAUUGAAAAAUGGAAAAUAAAAAUAUUUGUACUGCUUUCACUAUUUAUCUAUGUUAAUCUCUUUGAUAAAAUGAAGUGGAUGUCAUUAUUUCCAUGCAUCAGUAAUUACAAUCCAUAUUGUGCUCUUGCUAGUCUGUGCUCCAUUUGAACAUCGCAACGAACUUAUUUACUUACAUAUUUUUUGUGCUUUCUGGUUGGAAAUUGGAAGUUUUAACCAAUUUCUGAUCAGAAACAGCCCUUUUGAGUGCUAUGGCAGAAACCGCAGACGUGACCUAACCUUCAUUUUUAAUUUGUAUCAAUUGGUAGUUUUUUAUAACUCUCUCUUUUCCCCUCUAUCAAUAAUGAAUGGUAUUCGCUAGAGAAACCGUAAGGGGACUAAUCAUUGUGAAAAGCACUAGGUGAUAACUAGCAGUUUCAAUUUGACAGCAAAGAAGCUGCUAAGGAAUCANNNNNNNNNNNNNNNNNNNNNNNNNNNNNNNNNNNNNNNNNNNNNNNNNNNNNNNNNNNNNNNNNNNNNNNNNNNNNNNNNNNNNNNNNNNNNNNNNNNNNNNNNNNNNNNNNNNNNNNNNNNNNNNNNNNNNNNNNNNNNNNNNNNNNNNNNNNNNNNNNNNNNNNNNNNNNNNNNNNNNNNNNNNNNNNNNNNNNNNNNNNNNNNNNNNNNNNNNNNNNNNNNNNNNNNNNNNNNNNNNNNNNNNNNNNNNNNNNNNNNNNNNNNNNNNNNNNNNNNNNNNNNNNNNNNNNNNNNNNNNNNNNNNNNNNNNNNNNNNNNNNNNNNNNNNNNNNNNNNNNNNNNNNNNNNNNNNNNNNNNNNNNNNNNNNNNNNNNNNNNNNNNNNNNNNNNNNNNNNNNNNNNNNNNNNNNNNNNNNNNNNNNNNNNNNNNNNNNNNNNNNNNNNNNNNNNNNNNNNNNNNNNNNNNNNNNNNNNNNNNNNNNNNNNNNNNNNNNNNNNNNNNNNNNNNNNNNNNNNNNNNNNNNNNNNNNNNNNNNNNNNNNNNNNNNNNNNNNNNNNNNNNNNNNNNNNNNNNNNNNNNNNNNNNNNNNNNNNNNNNNNNNNNNNNNNNNNNNNNNNNNNNNNNNNNNNNNNNNNNNNNNNNNNNNNNNNNNNNNNNNNNNNNNNNNNNNNNNNNNNNNNNNNNNNNNNNNNNNNNNNNNNNNNNNNNNNNNNNNNNNNNNNNNNNNNNNNNNNNNNNNNNNNNNNNNNNNNNNNNNNNNGGGGGGGGGGGGGAGCGCAUUAUCCAAACACCUAUUUCGAGCAUGAAAAUUAACCCCAAUGACAAAAUUAAAUCCACCCGUUAACCUCAGUGUUAUAUUAGUAUCACAACAAAAAUAGAACAUACAAUCAACUAAGAAAGCUCAUAAAAGACAUAUAAAGAACUCAACAUGCUAUGAAGCAUGAUCUAAGAAAAUGAAACCAACCAAAUGGAGUUCGACAAACUUACAUACAUCUAAGAAAUUUAACUGAUAAAUAAAAAAGAAAACUAAAGCAUCAUGGUUGUUGUAAUAUGACCUAACCAAAUAACUUAUAUAAAACAGUAGUCCUAAUACUUCAUACAACAACCAAAACUAAGGCCAGCUUUUCUCCAUUAAUUUAUCUUGCAGAAACAGAAGUUAUCCCUAGCUGUCUAGCAUUACCUGAUACCAGCCCCAGUUCUUAUUUACCGACUUUAUACAAUAGGCUUUCCAUUAGUGAGCAAGAAAUGGUCCAUGUUAAAAGCUCAAUUGUUCAUACAAGUAAACAAUAAAGAACGAAUGAUAUGGGCCCCAAAACUUCAUAAUGAACAUAUUAGUAUAUAACAGACUCAUUUAAUUCUCUGAAUAUGUAAUCACCCAAAACCACUUCAUUUCUUGAAUUUUCUCAAAUAACACAAACAGGUCAAGUUCACAGUCAUCAAGAACAAUGAUGGAACCUGCCAACACCUCCCACCCACACAUAUUUUUAAAUUACGUGCGCAUUCCGCUCAAAAUUUGAGAAAACAUAAAAGUAAAAGAUGCAACAUUGUGACAUUUAUCAGACCAUGCAUCCACUACUUAAUUUCCAGUUUGAGUUUCUAUGUUUAAUAUUAAGAUGCAUUAUGCAACCACUGAAAGAUCAAUCAUAAAAACAAUGUUCAACGGUCAGGUUAACAACAAAUACUGUAGAUUGUCUCAUUAUUCAACAAUGAUUUAAUAAUUAUUAAUCAAUUGGGACCCAAAAAUACUAACAGCUGCACUAAUUUCAGCUUAGAACACGAGAUUGAAACUUUCCACAAUCAAGCAAUCAAACAACACACGGGAUUCAAAAAAGUAAAAGCCUCAAUCACUGUAUUUCCUACAAUUUCUUGCUAUCUAAAGAGAUUUUAUAAUAGCACUCACCUAUCAUCAAGUUUCUUAAGCUCGUCUUCGAUCUUCGUACGCAUCGAAUCAAGAACGCUUUGAUCCAUCUCCAGCACAGACUCAGCCACUAGGGUUUCAUAAAACGAGGCCAUGUCUACAGAAAAAAAGAGCAACAAUUAAAAUUGAAAAAAAAAAAUAGAGCAUUACUCGGAAGAAAUAAGUAUGCGAAUCCGGCGAGUUAGGUACCGUGGGCUUUGACCAUUGAGAAGACCUCCCCUUUGAGACCAACCUUCUCGAUGUCUUGAACGUCUGGGUGCGUAAGAAGGAAACGCUUGUGAGCGAGUACGAGAUGCGCCUGCUGAGUUCCUUCGCUGUCCAUGGCUAAUUCGGCUGCUGAUGACUCACUGAGAUACGUUCCGAGUUGGUUCUUUGCUUGAGAAAGGAGCUAGCGCAGUAUACAGAGUCGCCGUGACGAUUUACAAAUAAUUUAUGCCCGGUAUUUUCUUUUAUAUGAAUGUUAAUAUAUGCACCCUCUUCUUUUCAAAAAGAAAAAAAAUAUAUGCACCCCAUUAGUCUGAUAAAUCCCCCUUGCAGACCCUUACAUGGGCCCUCGUUGGGCUCGUGAACAAUUAUGGGCUCGUAGACGAGGUUCUAAAAUCAUCUGUCCAUUUUUUUUUUAAAUUUUAGAAACAGAAAAACAGUUCAAUAAUUUAUGUAGAAAAUUUAAAGAAAUAAUCAACAUUUGAGGUUUAUAUAUAAAUUUAACCAACUUUUCUAUCAUCCUUACUUUUUUUUAUAACCAAAGACAUUUAUUGUUCGAGAUUAAGGGAGAUAAUAAGUUGGUUAAAAUUUACAAGCCGCCCCCAAGAUUUAGCUACUGACGGAGAGUAAUAUUAUAGUAAGAGAGUAUUUUACUUCACUUCACUGGAGUAAAAGAGGUAAAGACACUUAUUUUAAUAUAUUAUAAAAAUACUUAUUUUUAUAUUUUAAUUUAUUUUAAAAAUUAUUUAGGUCGUGUUUUGAAUUGAAUUGUUAUAUUUUUUUAAUUUAUCCAUAAAAAUUGUAAUUAUAAAACAAAAGUUAAUAAUAUUUAAUAAAUAUAAUUUUUAAAUCAUAAUUUUAAUAAAAUUAUAGAUUUUUUGUCAAACAAAUAAAAAAUCACAUCAACAUAACUUUUAAGAUAUAAUAAUUAAUAUUUAUCAAAUACUUUAAUUUUGUAACUUUUAAAUUAUAAUUAGUCAAUUCCAAUCUCAAACAAGACCUAAAAUAAGUGAUUCAGAUAUUAUAAAAUUACUAUUUGAUGAAAAUUCCCCAUAUUAUAUAAAAUGACCAAAUAUAUAUUUGAAGAAUGAUCAAAUAUUCUUUAAUACGUAAAAUCCACGUGUUAUUUGAGAUGAAAGCCUUCUGGGCUUCCAAUUCUAUAUUUCUAUGGUGAGUUAUUGUUAGUGAGUAUAAUCUAUUAAAUUUAAUGAAUAAAUAAUAAAUCACAUCGAAUUCUGAGCCGUCAGAGGAAAUAUGCCGGAGACACUCUCGUGAGUCGUGUUUCCUGCUCUCAGUCGUGGGUGUUGAAAAUUUUCCUUCAAACUACUUUCUUCCGAGAAAAUAAUUAUAAUUUUUUUUAAAGUAAUGGGGAAACGAAAGCGCGGUGAUGCUAACAAUCCGAUAGAUAUUGUCUCUUCAACUCCUGGUAAAUCGUUCUUUUUUGUGUGCUUUAAUUUAUUCUUCCUUGAAUUGUCUCUCUUUUGUUUGGUCGCUGAGAAAACGCGGGAGAAAAUAUGGAAAGUUUUGAAUUUAAUAAUGUAGAUUGGUCUAGACAGUCGAUAGUGUUGUUUAUGAGGGUCGGUUGGUUUUCAUUUGGUUACGAUAUGUGAAUUUUUGUUUGUUUACUUCAAUAAUUUUGGACAAUCUUAGGUGAUAAUGAUAGAAACAGAUGCAUUUCCCAAUUUUUUUUUUAAUCCUAGAAAAUAAAAAUCUUUCUUUAUUUUGCUUUGCAAGAUGAAAUUGGGAUCCUGGACCAGUUUUAGAGUUAAUUAUUAUACUUCACAGAACUUGAUAGAACUUCGAUGGCUCAUGGCUUCAUAUAGUUUCUUUAGCCUAUCGUUUUGAAUGAUUAAGCUAACUGCUUCAUUCCAACUUAUUAAUAUGUUUAUAGUAGUACAGCCCGAGUGAAGUUUCCUAAAAUUGUCCGAAGAGUCACGCCAUUGUCUUAUGUUGAGUUCGCCUGUAUUGCAAAUUCUGAACAACAAGUAGAGCAACUUAAUUCAUUUUAUGCAUGCAUAUAUAUUUGAAUUGUUUAGAAAUUAUAUUAGGUAAUUGAUAAAGAAGAUUAAUGGGUUAAUGUUCAAUGUUGUUGCAGAGGAUCCUGGUCAUUUGUCAAAGCAUCGGACAUGUUGGCUGCAUACAGUAGCAUUUUUGCAUGCUCGAAAGAUGAAGAUAUCUAAACAGAAGAUAAGAAACUUUGAAUUGACUGCCCCAUGUUUUCUAGGUACUUUUUCUUGUCGUAGACGAUCAAAGAGAAGAGUUAAGUGCAAGAAUACAAGCCUCAUUAAGGGCAAGAAUUCAAGUUCAGUUAAGUGCAAGGAUAUGAUCACUAAACGAAAGAAGAAUAAGCUAGAUUCUGGAAAAUUUGAACACCUUUUGGAGUAAGCCCUAGUUUCUGCAAUGUAUUUUGUAGCCUGUAACUUGCCCUUACACUGAAUGCAUGUACAAAUUUGCAGUAAUUUGUGGAGGAGCUUCUCUGAGGAUAAGAAGGCUGGCUUUACAUAUCUCGACUCUUUAUGGUUUGACUUGUAUAGGAAACCAUCCAGCAAAGCAAAGGUUUUGACAUGGAUCAAGAGGAAGCAUAUUUUUUCAAAGAAAUAUGUCCUUGUUCCAAUAGUUUGCUGGUGUGUAUUUUUUUUCACCUUGAAAACUGAUUGUCGGAUUCCUUGUCAGUGCAUGGAAUUAUAUAAUCUUAAAAUGCUAUUUUUAGGAGACACUGGAACCUCUUAAUCUUAUGCAACUUUGGCGGGAGUUUCGAAUCAAAAACAAGAACACCCUGCAUGCUUUUGCUUGAUUCACUUGAAAUGUCAAAUCCUUGGCGGUUUGAACCAGAUAUAAGAAAGUAUGUGACUCUUUAUUUCUUUGGUGUGUUUGUGUGUCUGUGUACCAGCAUUAUUGUAUCUGUUUAUUGCACAAGUUGAGUGUUCAACCUGCGUUCUGGGUUUUGAAGGUUUGUGAUGGACAUAUACAAAGCAGAGGAUAGACCUGAAACCAAGGAGUUGAUAUCUCGAAUUCCAUUAUUGGUGCCUAAGGUAACCAUCAUAAGAGCUAUUAAUUAAUUUUACAUAACACCCUCUGAAUUUGCACCUGUAAAUACUGUACUUGUUUUAGGUGCCACAGCAAAGAAAUGGUGAAGAAUGUGGAAACUUUGUUCUCUACUUCAUUAAUCUGUUUGUAGAGGGUGCUCCAGAGAAUUUUAACCUUGAGGACUAUCCAUACUUUGUAAGUUUUCUUGUUUGUGUCAUGUUUGUCACCUGCAGGAUUGUUCUUAUGUAUUAGUGACCGAGUUCCUCAUCUCUUCAAUACACUGCAGAUGGAAAAGAAUUGGUUUACUGCAGAAGACCUGGAUUGCUUUUGUGAGAGACUCAACUCCUCUGAAAACUGAUUUGCAUUAGUUUCGCUAGAUGCAAUGUACGAUUUGCAUUAGUUUCGCUAGAUGCAAUAUAUGUAAGUUCUUUAACAUAUUUGUAUACGUAGGGAUUAGGUCUCUGAGGUUUAUUUUGAAACAUUAUGAUUUAUAAGGUUAUGAUUUAGGCAUGGAGCUGAAGCAUAUAUUAGCUGCAAUCUCUAGGAUGGCAGAUGACGAUGUCUUGAUCAAUUAAAGGCAUUUUUUACUGUCUCGGCUUGCUAUUAUAUUGUUAGGCAAGAUUCUCGGUAUUGAGUUACUCGAGCUCUUCACAACAGCAUAUUCUAGUCUUCACCCAAUACUUAGAUAUAUAAACUAAUUUGACUUGCAGAGAACCUGUUGCUCUCACAACUCUGCUUUGAGCUCAUAACUCAGCUCCGCAGUUCUGCUUAUAUCCAAGACAUUGAUCCAAAUAAAAGAAUCAGAUCUGAAAUAUUGAACUAGGUUGACAUGCUGCAACUUGGAAACAGAAAAACGUUGAAGGCGGUAAAACCACCUGUAGAAUUUUCUGCAUCACUGAAACCAACAUAUGUAUUAGGGAUAUUUUGUUCUGGACCUUACAAGGUGCUCCUUCCUUGAAGGAACUGAGAAGCUAGUGCACUUUUUUUUUGUGUGGAAAUCCAGCAUGGAGAUCAGGAGAUGAAAAAUGUAAAUUUAGAGAAAUUGGAAAUAAAAAACAACAAACAACAGCAGUAUUUACUGGCAACAAUUGUAAGCCGCAUAAAGCAAAACAAGCCAAUCAUUUCAUACAUCAUAUGCUCAAAGCUUUGCUCAAAAUGGUAGAAAACAAUCUAGCAGCUAAAGUUCCAUCAUCAUAAGCGCAUUUGUACGCAUACACUAGGACAAAUGGCUCAACUUGUCAGUGCUAUUAACAAUGUGAAACUACACUAACACAUCGAAACAUGAUUUAGGCUUAUCAAUAUCAGUGCAAGUCAGCAAAGUGUGGUCGGUAACAAAAAUACAUUCUUUUCUUUACACCUAAAUCUGUAAUCAGAAGCUGAUUCCUCAAAAAGUAUUUUCAGUGUGUUGUUAUCAGGAGUUAGCAAUAGGGAAUGUCACCAUCUGGAACCUCCCAGUUAUCAUCUUCAUCAUCGUCCCCCUCCUUCUUAGGAGUUUUCUGUUUCACUGGAGAUUUUGGCUUUGGUCGUCUGACAUGAACAGAAUAAAUCAAUAGCAAGCAUGUAGUUCUUUGAAAAGAACAAAAAACAUAAAACGAAAAUGCAUAUGAGAGUGCCAACAAACAUGAUCAGCGACAUUUAAACAAAGCAAAAUUGGAGGAGGUACUGGCAUGAUUUAUAGGCCAAGUAUCAAGAUGGAGACUUUUAAUUAAUUUUUGGAAUCUUUAAAAUAAGAAAACAUAUUAGCAUAAAAGAUAUUAGAAUUGUAUAAUGAAAACAACAGAUGCCAGCAAAACACACACUGACCGUUUUCCCUGAGAGAUUUUAAGUUUGAAACUCAGCAUUGCUUCCAAUCAGUACAUGAAAAUUCAGCUACUCUUCUACCAUGAAACAAACCAUUUGAACUAUGCUUCCAAAUAUCAUCAGCACAUCUUUAGCAACCACCAAUGGGUUGCUAUGUUGUUAUUGUAAUGGGAAGCAUAACAUAAGGUACUUGAUGAUAUCUAAAUAGAUCCCAGUGGACGGCAUUUAUAUUGAUUCAGCAUCAAAACCUAGGAAAAAACUAAAUGUGAUCGUGUACUAGUAACUAAAUUAAGAAACUGAAUCAUCAGCAGUUGUUCUUCAACAAAUAUUAACAGAAGCCCAAACUGAAUACCUUUUUCGGUUCCUUUGAGCAGCGGAUCUCGCUUUACGCUUCCUCUUCUCCUGACUGCUCUCAAAAAAUCUUCUUCUCUUGCACUCUUGUAUAAUACCAGCUCUCAGCACCGCACUCCUAAACCGCCUCGCUAUCUUCUCCUCGGGCUAGUCGUCGGCGACUUCUAUCUGCACGUUGAAGAAAUAUAUGGUGUCUGUUGGAGCUGGACGGGGCUGCUGGCUGCUGCUGUGAGUGCUGUCGUCGUGGGCCACAAAACUCAAAAAGUGAGAAGAGGGAGCAAGGAGGGGGAGGGAGUUAGACGGUGAGACCGGCUGGUGUCUGUUGGAGCUGAACGGGGCUGCUGUGGCUGCUGCUGAAGUGCUGAUGUCGUCGGCCACAGUUCUCAGAAAGUGAGAACUAAGAAGAGGGAGCAAGGAGGGGGAGGCCGGGAGGUAGACAGGGAGUGAGAGAUUUUUGUUUAGGGAUUUUUAGGGAUUUUUUGGUUUAAUUAAUGUAUAUAUAUUUUUUAUUUAAAAGCUAAAUUUAAAAAAAAAAAAAAGCUUCAACCCGAACGGGUUGAAAAUUCGGUUCGGGUUGAACCCGAACCGAAAUUUAACCCGAACGGGUUGAAGCUUUGAAUCCGUUCGGGUUUCACUGGUUAAUCCAAACCGAACCGAACCCGAAAUAAAUUUCGGGUUCGGUUUGGUUCGGGUUAACCCGAACCGAACGCCCACCCUCACGCUUCACUCUCUUCUUUGGUUCUUCUCCAAUUUUCACCCUUAAAUCUUCACAGCUUUCUUCUUUUUAAGUCUUCACUCUUCAGUUUUCACAAAUCGAUUUCUCACACAAUCGGGUUUCACAGAUCGAGUUUCAGUCACAAAAGCAAACCGAUGGUCACUCAAAGACGCAGCGCAAGAACCGAAGAUCAUUUGCAGACACAGCCACCGGAUCCGUGGUUCCGUCCAUCACCAAGUUUCUCACCUCCAAGCUCCACUUCAACCCAGCAACCUGACUUCUCCAACCUGCAACCUGAGCCUUGUGUUUUGAAAUUUUGAUGGUUUUUCUUGAUGUUGUGAUUAUUAUCAUAUAUAAAUUGUAAAAUGUUAAUGUUCACCAGCUAAUGAUAAAGAAAAUCAGUGAUAAAGAAAGUUGUAAUGUAUUUUUUUUUCCAAUGAUGGGCAUAAAUUUUUUCAUUUUUCAGUCCAAACUGAUUUUAAUCCGAAUCCGAUCCGAACCGAACUCAACCCGAUUUUUUGACCCGGAUCGGAUUACAAGUUCGGAUUGAAUUCGGAUGGAUUUCUGCCCAACCCGACUAACCCGAAAUCCGAUCGGGUCGAACCAAACCCGAUCCGAAUCCGAUUUUGCCCAGCUCUACUUUUAGAACUAUCAGAGCUCGUUCAAAAUGUCACGGCCCACUUGAUAAAAUUCUCAUCUUAUCAACUUCAAAGGCAAAUUUAAAAAAAUCUUACUCCCCAAAUUUUCAAUUUCACCUAUUCUGCAUACUUGUUGUAAUGCUCACUUAAGACCCUCUCUAGUAACUCCUCUUAGAUGUAAGACUUUGCCCAGCAGACAACCCUCAACUAACUCUCUCGCAUUCCCUUCCAUGACAUUACCAACAACUACUUUACUUUCUUUUCCUUCUUCUAAUGUAAUAACUUUACACUUGCGGAUUAGUUCUUCUGUUUCCAUGAGGCACUAAAAUAUAAAUCCACUAUGAUAACUCUUGAGUAUCUACCACUUCCUCUGUAAUUAAGACUCAACAACUUAGAUGAAAAACUUAAAACUAAAAGAGACACCCAACUCGUGAGCGACUUUCGCAAUCUUAUAGGCUACUACCCUUUCAUUCUAGAUUCUCACUCAAAGAGAGAGAACCUGUGAAGAAAGACUUCUACAGGUAGGAGAGCACUUACACAGUAGAUUAUUUAUAUUUCUUUGGACUGACUUUUUUACUUUAUUAAAGACAAAAACAACAUAAACAAAGACAGAGGAUUAACAAAAGCAUCAAUUGCCAAAGAGUAGAGAGUAUUAUUAUAUUUUAGGAACUUAGGUUAUGACCAACUUAAAAGAAGCAGUUAGGGCUUGUUCGGUACCGUUUUAAAAGCCUUAUUUUCAUUUUUGUUUUGGGAGUAUAAAUAUAAUACAUAUUCAGCGGGUUGAAUCCAAAAAAAUAAAUUAUAAAACAAAUAAUUGAUAUUCACUUUUACAGUUAUAAAAUUAAGAACCUGUUGAACAUGUUCUCAAACAAAUUACAAAUUAAAUUAAAAAAAUAAACCCCAAAACAAAAUCUAAAAAGUUAUCUUUCUCUCCCAAAAUCUUAUCCCCUCCCUCUCGUUAUCUCUUCACAACUCUUCCUUCUUCAUGGUUGAUACUUCUCCUUUAACCACAACCCACCUGAACUGUGCACCGAUCUCUCUCUCCCCUUCCCCUUUAUCUAGGUCUACUUCAAUGUUCUCUUCCUCUCGGUGGCUGUUACUUGUUCAUCAACCGCAAUCCAUCGUCGCAAGGUACUACGUCGGAAUAUUUGACCAAAAACAUGUCAGGACAAAGUGAUGUCUAUCAUGGUUUAUUGCUGCAAGUGCAUUAUUUUCUUUGUACUAAAGUGAAUCUUUGAUGUAUUUAUUAAAUUUGGUGGAGCAAUCUUAGUUAAUUUUGAUGAUUUAUAUAUGCAUUUAAUUUCAUUUUUAAUAAUUCAUGUGCAGGAAAUAUGGAUUCUUGGCUUUGCUUGGACUGAUGGUUUGCGCAAUUUCAUUUGGAAUCAAUCAGCUUCGAGGAUAAACACUUGAAGUUCAUCCUUUCUUGUGCAUGGGACUUGCUUUUCUUCCAUCCAACUUUUUUGUUCUCUUUUUCUAUGGUAGCAGUUUUAUGUUUUGUGUUGGUGGGAAACUUCAUGCUGCAAUUUUGUCAAACUCUGUUGACAUACCCUAAUCAGUAAUGACUUUGCUGCAUGGCGAAAGCAUAAAUCUUGUCAUUAGAGCUUGUUUCCAUAAAAUAAGUGUAAUUUGAAAGUACAUUGUACACUAUUGAAUUUAAAUUAUCCCCAACAAGUGUUGAUGCAUGAUGUCUAUCGUGUAAUUUUUUUUAUAAUUAUUUUGUUUAAAUUAUAUGUGUUGUAAUAUAUAACUUAAUUAUAGUGUAAAAACAAUGGCAAUGUAAUUUUUUGUAUUAAUGCUAAUACUAAAACUUUAUCAUCAUGCAAUUUUUUAUAAUUAUUUUAUUUAAAUUAUUUAUGAUAUGUUUGCGUAUUAAUUAAAUAAACAAUUAGUUUUUACUAAAAACUAUGACUUACAUGUUUAGUAAAAACUGUUCAUGAAAAUAGUACUACAGAACACAUUUUCUCUGAUUUUAUCUUUUUCAAUUGUUUUUAUCAAACACAUGUUACUGUUUUCAAUUUUAAAAUACAAGAUAUAGAAAAUGAUAUCAGAUGCCUAUUUAAUUCAAAAUGCUGCAACUGCAAAACACUAUUUUUAUUCUCAUUUUUGUUUUCAGAAAAUACUAAUUCAGAAACAAUAACAAACAAGAACUUAGUUUUAGUACGAAUAAUGUUGUGUUAGUUUUACAGGCUUAUAUGCACCCUUAGAUUUAUUAGAAGUAUCAACCCAACCCCCUAGUUACCGUUGACUGAUAUCUAACCCGUUGACUGAUGUUAACUCUUGAAAGUAACUAUAACAUCUAUAUUGUAAUCUCACUUUAUUAACUAAUAAAUUUUAAAAAUAUAAACAGAUCAAUAACAACAAAAUAAUUAAAGUUGAAAUCCAAGAAAUUACCUAAAAAUCAUACCUGAAAACCAAAAUGCAUAAAAUUUCAUUAAUUUAAGUUGUGAGAAUGAGUAGUCCACAUUAUAUGAUGAAUGAACAACUUCUAUCAUUUUACCAAGUUAUUAAUGUUAUGUUUACUUACUGGAGUGGACAUGAGAAGUAUAGAUUCCUCUCACUCUAAAGUUUACUUGCAUAUUCUAAGAGGUGUGGGAAUCCCACUCCGUUGAUCCCACCCAAUUUUGAAGUAGUGAGUGUAAUUCCCACUCCCACAACUUUCUUUUUUACUUUUCUUUUAUUAAAUUUAAUACAAUCAUAUUUAGUAAAAUAAAACAAAUAACAUCAUAUUUAUUUAAUAAAUAUUAUUAUUUUAUUUUAUAAAAUUCUAUUUAUUAAAAAGAAUAAUAUUAAUCUUAUUUAGAUAAAAUUAUUAUUAUAUUUAUUUAAAAAUAAUAGUAUUAUAUUUAUUUAAUAUUAAUAAUUAAUAAUAAUAAAUAAUCUCAAGAUUUCCACUAUAAUCUAAAAUGUAAACACUGUCUAAAACGUCAAAUAAAAUUCUUAAUUAAGUAAACCAUAAGGUGAUUACGUAUAAAAAAAAUUAAUAAUAUUAAUUUUCAUAAGAAUUUAUGCUUGUAGUAUUACUUCACUUUUUUAUUAACCGUUGCUUCAACUUAUGGUAGAUAUUAAGAGAACAAUAAUAAUAGAGCUAUAAAUGUUUGCGUACUAUCAAUCAACUUAACAGUAUAAUUACCAACAAAUCCUUAAUACCAUAAAUAAUUAAAUUAUUGGGGUUUUAAAAUGACUCUCUAGACUUUGCAUGAUUUCUUUAUAUGUAGGUGCCAUGGUUCCCAUAAGUAAUAUCAGCCACACUUUUUGUUAUUGUUAAAAAAAUUUUAUAGGUACAAUUUGUGAAUUUGUACAAAAUGUGGUAUUAUACAUUUGAAGCAUGAACUGACAAGACAAUGUUGUGUCAAUAAUAAAGAAACAAAAAAAAAAUUGUAUAAAAUACAGAUGUUGUAGUGUAACUUGGAUUCUUUUUCUUUAUAAUUGCACCUAUCAUGUGAUUAUCAAAAAAAAAAAAGAACUCCUGAGAUUUUAAAAUUUUGUAAUUGCACUAUUUUUGGAUUAUCAGAAGACUUCCUCUCCUUAAAGAUGCUCUUAAUCCAUAAAUGGUGCAAAACAUAAUUCAUGAAAUGAAUUUAUUAUUUUAGAUAAGUUUCAAGUAUGCAUACCUUUUAUAGCUCCAUAUUGCAUAACUCCUCAUUUCAAUCAAUGGAUGCAUUUGUUUACUUUUUCUUUCUUGUAAAUUUUUUAAUGGCCGUAAUUCUAUAAAUAAUUAAUUAAGUGUUAUUGUUAUCAUUAUUUUGUAGAUGCAUAUGUGGGGUGGGGACGUUGGGGGGCAUGGAUCUCAAUAUAGCAGAGGGCCUGAAUAUUUAUUCUUUAAGAGGAACCACAACCAACAACAAUGCUUUAAGUUCCAUUCCAUUUUACUUCUGUGCACCAGAUUGCAUAAACAACAUUGAUUAUCCAAGGUCAAAGUCUCUCAAAUACUCUAGUUACAAGACAAAGCAUGGGUUAGUAGUGGCCAAAAUUUUCUUGCAACGAAAGGCUCGUAAACUGAUGACAGCUGCUGGAUUGUUUUGGGCCUUAAUGGUUUUAAUAUUAUUCUCUUAAAAACAUAUAUGUUGAUUAGAGACGAGAGGAAGAAGAUGAUAUGAUUCAGCCAGUUGCAGAAGAAAGAGCACGCAGUGGAGUUCAGAUUUUGAAUUCUCUUGUCAAAUUGUUUUUAAUUUACUACAAGGUAGAAUAUGUUGCAUUGUUAAAAAAUACUUUGAACAUCCUAUUUUUGUAUUACAAAUAUACCAAAAAUUAAAUUAAUUUUUUUCUUUAUUAGUAUAAACUAAAUUUUGCAUGAAUCCUCAUCCUUAUAAGUGGAAUUCUAUUGUGAAAUUAAUAGUCCUUCCUAGUUGAACUAACUAUCACUUUGAACAUGUGUCAUCUCUAACAACAGCUCCCAAACCUGCAGCUACCUGCUUCUUAGCAUUAGAAGCAGUAUCUGCAUUGGCUUUCAACCAGCCAUAAUUAGGAGGAGGGCACCAUUGUUUCUGUUUGUCAAUUUCCUUUCUUGAACCAUAAGCCAUAAUUAGGAGGAGGGCAAACUUCCAAAUAACAUUCCAAAUGGUAUUGUGAAAAAUUUUCACCCUUUUGGUAAUAAAAAAGAACCUUAUUUCUAGUUCUCUAUUAACAAUCUUACCACUAAGUUCUCUCUUGAGUAGAAACAUCAUAUAUAUUAAUUUAUUGUUAAUAUAAACAAAACUAAAUAUUUAUAACUUAAAAGAUAGGUGUUGAAUAGAGGCAGUCUCACAGAAAAAAAAAAAAAAGUAUUUGAAAGCAGUGGUGAUAUCAUAUUUUUUGUAAUGAUACGAGAGUAUCACACUAGAUUUUUUUUCUGCAUUACAAAAAGUUUGUAUUCAAGAAUAAAUAAGCAAUAUCAGGAACAAAUUUUACAAAAAGCCUCCAGGACAUGUCAUAUUAAUUUUGUGAUAUAUUAGUCACUAGAUCUUCUUUCCACAUUACAAAAAAUUAGAAAUGCAAUCUAAAUCGAUAUCAAUUACUAAUUUUAUAUUGAAUGGGUCCUACAUGAAAAUAAGGAGUAUUUUUAUAAUUUAAGAAAUUAUUAGCCAUUUACCCUAAGUUUACUUUGUGUCAAAAAAUACUACGAAAACUUUAACUUAUUUAGUUUUUUACCUGAAUUUAUAAUUUAUAUCAAUCACUCACUAAAAAGAUAGAAUUACCUCAUAAAAUGACAAAAUAAAAACAAACACAAAUGACAAUACCAGUAAUUUUAUAAGGAUAAUCCAAUCCUUUUGGCACCAAAUUACAUAUUAAAUUAUUUUAAAUAUUAUAAAUUAUUUUUAAAUUGAGUGAGAAACCCUGGUCAUUUUAAUACUCAUGGCCAUUUAAUCUAACAAAACAUGAUAUUUCGAGUAGACUUAUGUUUGCGUAAUGAAUAAUAGAUUUCAAUGAUGAGAACUAGACUUAUUUUUUAUUUAGGCAAAUAAUACAUGCACCGCUUACUUGGCAAUAUAUUUAAUUUUUCAAAUUUCUUUAUUUAGUCAACAAAUUUGAAAUUAAGUCUUCUCGAAUAUUAAGAAAUGUUGAUGAUUUUUAUAUUUUUGUUAUGUAAGUUGGAGUUUGUUAUUCAUUUUGUUAAUUAUUUAUUUUCUUAAUAUUCUUAUGAUUCACUUCCUUUAGGGGCUGAGUUUUGGAUUCAUCAUGAUUGUAUCGGGGUCCGGGUUUCACACGCUCGUUUUGUUAUGCCUUAGUCUUUGUUUUGUUUUUUUUUUAAGGGAAGCAAUUUCAUUAAACCAAAAACGAAUUACAGACUAUGUAAUAACCACAAAGGUGGAACGAAAUUCCACUCUUGGGGACCUGACAUAGAACCUACUGCCCUUGCAACAGAAUGAGCAGCCAGGUUCGCAGACCGACGUACAAACGAGAAUUGUACUUCUCCUAAAGACUUAGCUAAAGCUCGACAUUCAUCAACUAUUAAACCAAAACCGUUAGGCCCUGAAAACUCCUCAACUAGAGCUUGAAAUACUUGUAAACAAUCAGUUUCAACAAUGACACAAGGAAAUUGUAAGCCUUUAAGCCAACUAAGGGCCUCCCGAAUACCAAGAGCUUCAGCCUCCCUUGCUCCAAAAUUCCCAGCCAUUCCAGCACAUCUUGCUGUUAAGAAAACACCCUCUGAAUUUCGAAGCACACACCCAAAACCAAUCUUUCCUUGAGAUGAAAAGAUAGCAGCGUCAACAUUACAUUUGACCCAACCAAACUUUGGCCUCUCCCAACAUGUUGCCCCAUGGACCAGCUUAUGGACAUCAGUAUCAGCAUAGAAUUGUUGCUUCUUUGCUGCUUGCCACUGAUAGAGAAGUUGCCCAGCAGAAUUGAGCACUUGAUUCACUGAACCAGUUUUGUUAUUCCAUACUUUGUCAUUACGAUUAAUCCAAACUCUCCAGCAGAUCAUCAUGGCAACAUGGCAUUCUUCUUUGCUGCAGCGUGUAAAGAUGUGAUCAAGCCACUCUAAGAAAGAAUAACAAUGGCCAAUAAAACCCAUAGAGGAAGAAAUCCAGCAAGCCUUAGCAACAUUACACUCAACCAACGAAUGGAGAACCGUUUCAUCAAAAGCAAGACACACAGCACAAGUAGGGGGGAUAUUCACCCGCUUAGAAAUUAAAUUAACUGCAGUAGGCAACACAUUAGUUGCCGCUCGCCAAACAAAAUUCUUAACCUUAUUCGGCACAUUCAAGUUCCAUAGUUUUCGCCACACAUCUGUGAAAGGGCCAGGGGUAAGAGAAUGUAAAACCUUAUAACAGCUACGGACUGAAUAGCAUCCGCGAGAAUCAGCCAACCAAUACCACACAUCAUCAUUUCGGCGGGAACUAAGGGGAAUUUGAAGUAUCAACUCCUUGUCUCUUGCGUUGAAAAGAUCCGAAACAAGAUCAUAAUCCCAAGCUCGUUGAUUAGGCACCAGUAAACUACUAACAGGAGCUGCAGCAAGCUCUACAUGGAGAUUAGAAGAAACAAAUCCAUUAUUAGUAUCAGGAAGCCACGGAUCCUUACCAAUGAAGAUCGAAUUCCCACAGCCAACUUGCAGUCUACUCCCUUGAAUUACCACAUCCUUUACAGCCAAAAUAAAGCGUCAUACAUAGCUAGGAUUAUGCCCCACAGAAGCUUGAAGAACAGAGGUGCGCGGAUGGUAGCGAGCUUUAAUUAUCUUGGCCACAAGAGAUUCCGGACAAGUUAACAGCUUCCACAUUUUCUUUCCUAACAUCGCUAGAUUGAAUAAAUGAAGUUGUUUAAAACCAAGGCCCCCAUAUCCUUUUGGUUUGCACAGAUUUUCCCAAUUGGACCAGUUUAUUCCUUUCCCUCCACUUUGAUUACUACGCCACCAGAAUGAGUUCAUCAGUCCUUCUAGUUCUCUACACAAAUCCUUUGGCAGUAAAUAUAUACCCAUAGCAUAAUUAGGCAUCGCAAGGGCUACCGUUUUUAACAAAAUCUCCUUCCCAGCCCGAGAAAGCAUCCGCGUACUCCAUCCCUGCAGGCGUUGCCAGAGCUUGUCCCUAAUAUACCUGAACACCUCUUUCUUGUUUCUGCCAAUAUAUGAUGGAAGACCAAGGUAGGCUCCAUGAUUAGAGGUCAUGGUAACCGCUAGAAUAUCACAAACCUGCUGAGUAACAGAUGCAAUCACAUUAGUGCUAAAAGAAAUUGAAGACUUGUUGAAAUUAACCUCUUGGCCAGAAGCUCGACCAUAAACCUCCAGCAGCUGCUUGAUUAAAGAAGCUUCAUUGUUAUUUGCCCUGAAAAAAAGGAAGCUAUCAUCGGCAAAAAACAAAUGCGAGACCGAUGGUGCCCCUCUCGCGAUCCGUACACCAUGAAGUAAGCCAUUCCUUUCUUGUCUUCGAAUUAAAGAACUGAGCCCUUCCGCGCAAAGAAUAAAUAGAUACGGAGAUAAUGGAUCUCCCUGUCGAAGGCCUCUACUCGGAACAAUCGGCCCAACUUCCUUUCCCUCCCGUAGCACAUGAUAUCUGACAGUAGAUACACAGAGCAUAAUUAACUCCACCCACUUGGCAUCAAACCCCAUCUUAAGCAUCAUUGCUUGAAGAAAAUUCCACUCAAUCCUGUAAUAUGCCUUAGACAUAUCAAUUUUCAGAGCAGCUACCCCAUUUUUACCUUGUCUCUUCCGCUUCAAGAAAUGCAUAAUUUCAGCCGAAAUGAUUAUGUUAUCCGUGAUAGCUCGACCCGGGAUAAAAGCGCUUUGAGAGUCUGAAAUAACCACAUCAAGAACUGAUUUCAUGCGGUUAGCUAGCAUUUUGGAUAUUAUCUUAUACAACACAUUGCAUAACGCAAUUGGUCUCGUAUCUGAUAAUAAUUCAGGUUUGUGUUUCUUCGGUAUUAGCACAAUUGAAGUGUCAUUCAAGCCCACUGGGAAAGAGCAAUCAUGAAUAAAUUUUAAACAAGCCAAAAUCACAUCCUUACCCACAAUAUGCCAGAACUUUUGGUAGAAAGCAGGGUUCAUCCCGUCGGGUCCUGGAGACUUGUCCGGAUGCAUUUCAAAGAGUGCUUCUUUAACCUCAAUGUCAGUAAAAGAAGCUAAAAGCAUUGCAUUAUGCUCGUUUGUAAUUCUUGUAUCCACACACUGGGUAACUUCAGCAGUAUGACACCCUCCGGAGGUGAAAAGGCUCUGGAAAUAGUCCACAAUCAAAGUAUCCACCUCCUCUGGGUUGGAACACCAGUCUCCUUGAUUAUUACGAAGAGACUCGAAGGAAUUCUGCCUUCUCCUGGCAGAGGUCGAGGCAUGGAAAUAGUGAGUGUUCUUGUCACAUUCCUUUAACCACAAAGACUUUGCUCUCUGUUUCCAAAAAACCUUAUGACUAUGCAAAAGCUCAUUAUAACGCUGUCUCGCUUCUGAAAAAGCAACCACACCCUCACUAUCUCGCCUACCUCGAAAAACAGCCAUACACUUCUUGCAUUCCCGAAUUCGCUGUCGAAAAUCUCAAGCAAAAUGCCCUCCCCACUCCAUAAGAGCAGACCCACACAGCAUAAUUCUAUGUUGAAUAGAAGCACCAGUAUAGGAGCUCCAGCUAUCCCGAAUAACAUCACUACAGUCAGCCUCACGCAACCAAGUAUUCUCAAAACGAAAAUGGUUAUGCCUUAAAAUAGGCUGGGUCGGGCUAGGAUCCAACAAGAUAGGAAGAUGAUCAGAGCAAGAGGAGUCUAAGCUAUAGACUUUCACCUUGUUGAAUCGCUGAAUCCAUUCCUCAGAUGCAAAAGCUCGAUCAAGCCUUUCUUCAACCCAUUUAUCAGUGCCCCUAGCUCUCUCCCAUGUAAACUGAUACCCAUCGAUGCCAAGAUCAACUAAAUUGCAAUCGGUAAUAGCUCGCUGAAAACCCACCAGCUUCCAAUUUGGGUGCGCAAUACUACCUCUCUUCUCAUUUGCCGCCAGUAAAUCAUUAAAAUCACCUAUACACACCCAUGGGAGUGAAGAGGAAGAAGCAAGCAAACGGAGCAAGUCCCACGAUUUGCGGCGCCGGCUAGACUCAGGAUAGCCGUAAUAACCAGUUAAUCUCCAUUUUCCUAAAACGGGCACUUCAACUUCAGUAUCUAUAAAAUUGGUGGCAAACUGCAGCAGAUUAACAUUACUAGUAGCUUUCCAAAGAAGCGCGAGCCCACCACUCCGGCCAACUCUAUCAACAACAAACAGCCCAUCAUAGCCCAAUUGAAUUUUGAUCAUCUCUAACUUAUCUCUACUGCAUAGCGUUUCAAUAAGAAAAAUGAACGUAGGCUUCUUGUUACGGACCACCUCUGCCAACAUACGAACUGUCCGUGGCUGGCCCAACCCACGGCAGUUCCAACUUAAAGUACUCAUUGCUCUCGGUGGGCCUGAAGUACAGGUCCCACCGCUAGCCCGUUUUUUGGAUCUACCACCAUAGAACUCACAUCCACCUCUGUUUGUACUAUACCCUCCAGCCCCAUAUCCGCUCUUCUUCUUUUAGCUUCCUUUAACACUAACUCUUUCUCCCCAUACCUUACAGCUACUUGAGUAAGGUCCAGCCCAUUUGCAAAUGAAACCACGUCUUUGCCCUUACCAAGCCGUUGACUGCUAGUGGCCUGGACAACUGGCAAUGCUUGUAAGCUCAUUAUAUUAUCCAUAGAAUCCCGCCCAUCACUCCCUAUAUGGUUGGCAAAUUUCGUAUUGUUGGAAAUUCCUGAUUUGGAGGCAUUCAUCUCAUUAACCACGGUACCACUUAAGGAAGUUUUAAAAUUUCCUGAAUUAGCCAUACAUUCUUCUGACAGUUCCGAACGUAACCACCUUUCACCGGAGGACAUGGCAUUCCGACGAGUUGGAGCCUUCAUCUCUGGCCCAUAUGACCUUGUAAUAUCAGCAGCAUCACAAUCAUACAACUUCGGACAAAGUUUUUCUGAGUGCCCAAGGAGUCCACAAAUGAAGCAGAAAGUAUUUAAUCGUUCAUACUUGAAAUCAACCCAGAACCAAUCUCCUCCCUCCUUCUUUAGUCGCAAUCUUCGCUUCAGGGGUUUCCGGACAUCAAUGGAUACCCUUAUGCGCAUAUAGUUUCUCCACACUCCCAUGAGAUUAUUAGGAUCUGAAGAUUGAAACUCACCAAUAUUGUUACCAAUAUUUAUCAAUACUUUCUCUGACAGAAACCCAAUGGGUAAGUUGUACACCUGGAUCCAAAACGAAGUAUGGAAUAAAGAAACCAUAUUCGGUUGUUCAUUCUCCCCCAAUCUCUUUAAAAUUAGAAUAUGUUGGUCGAAGGUCCACGGUCCCGAAUCAAUCACACGCUUGAGGUCAACUUCGUGAAAGAAUUGGAACAAGAAAAGAGAAGGUGAUAAAUCUUUGAUGCACACUCCCUUCCCUGGACGCCAUAAUGCCGCCAUAGUAUUUUUCAUGGCCGGAAAAUUGAUCACCUUAUCAGUUAAAAACCUCCCCACCAAGCAGAAUCUAAAAUCAGUCAACCCUGCAUUUCCAGUGGCAAUAUCCUCACUAUGAAAAACAAGACCAUCGUCAUCUUCCUCCCCAAUAGAAACCUUUUCAUAUGCAGCAUUCAUCUCAUGCUCCCCAAAAUUUCUACUGGUUGUCAUAGUACUCGUAAUAAGCAGGAAAUAUGGCUAUCUAGCCGGAAAUAUCCUAGAGCAAACUUGUCAGAAGGACAAGACAAACAAAGCUUGCCAAAGAGACAAGAGUAGCCUAAAAUUACGAAUUGUGUUUGAGUAGGAGGAUAAUGUAAGAAAACUUGGCACUUUUAUUCAACUGAAGAAAUUUUACAAUUUAAAUUAGAAACGAUAAAAUUUAAUAAUUAACUAUUAUUUGAACUAAUUGAAUCGUGCGCCAUCAUUUGUGUAAUGUAUCCUAUUUGCAAAAUAAACGGCAGGAUGCGGUUUGCGGACAGAUUAUGGAAAGAAAAAGGCAUAUAUUUCUCUCCUAUUUUGGUAAUUCUAUAUUUCUAUUCUUCUUCUUUUUCAACCCCAAAUAAUCAAAAGCUCUCCAAUGGCUUUCGUAUCCACAAGGACCACAACUCGUCCAUUUCAUUUUACUUCAAUUUUAGUAUCAGCUCUUAGAUGUAAUUUCUCAUCUUCGUUCCCUCAUACCGGAAAACCCACAUCUUCAAUUUCGGAAAAUGAACCCUCGUAUCCGACCACAACAGCUAAACUGAAGGAGUCGCUACGACUGACGGUCAAAGACUGAGCCUCACUCGAAAAAUUCCUCAAAGAAAGGUGCAAAUCAUCAGGUCAAGGUGAUAUUAAUCUUAUUACUCCUAAUGAAGCCUUGUGUAUCUUUGAUUACAUGCUCCGUAUGCACCCUUCUCCGCCUCCUGUCUCUUCCUUCAAUAUUUUGUUUGGUUGUCUUGCUAAGAAUAAACAUUAUGAUACUGUCCUUUCACUCUUCAAGCGACUCAAUUCAACUGGGUUGUUUCCAGAUCUUUAUACUUACAAUAUCUUGAUUAACUGCUUUUGCAAAAUGGGUCGAGUUUCUCAUGGUUUUGUUGUUCUUGGGAGAAUCCUCAGGUCUUGUUUUACUCCAGAUGCUGUGACCUUUACUUCUUUGAUUAAAGGUUUGUGUGCGGAGAGUAGAAUCAUGGAGGCCGCCACAUUGUUUAUGAAACUUAAAGCGUUUGGUUGUGAGCCUAAUGUCAUUACAUACACCACUUUGAUUAAUGGAUUGUGUCGAACAGGCCAUACAAUUGUUGCUCUAAAUUUAUUUGAAGAGAUGGCUAAUGGAAAUGGGGAAUUUGCUGUUGUUUGUAAGCCAGACACUGCUACAUACAGUACUAUUAUCGAUGGUCUUUGUAAGGAAGGUUUUGUGGACAAGGCCAAGGAACUGUUUCUGCAGAUGAAGGAUAACAAUAUUAACCCUAACAUGGUUACCUAUACCUCUGUGAUUCGUGGUUUUUGUUAUGCUAAUGAUUGGAAUGAGACCAAGUGUUUGCUAAUUGAGAUGAUGGACCAAGGGGUACAGCCUAAUGUUGUGACUUUCAAUGUCAUCAUGAAUGAGCUCUGCAAGAAUGGAAAGAUGGAUGAGGCAAGUCGGUUGUUGGACCUGAUGAUUCAGUUUGGUGUGCGUCCAAAUGCUUUUGUCUAUAACACAUUAAUGGACGGGUUUUGCUUGACAGGUAGAGUUAAUCGUGCGAAGGAACUAUUUGUUUCUAUGGAGAGUAUGGGUUGCAAACAUACUGUUUUUAGUUACAGUAUUUUGAUAAAUGGUUACUGCAAGAAUAAGGAAAUAGAGGGAGCGUUAACCCUUUAUAGCGAAAUGCUCUCUAAAGGAAUUAAGCCAACAGUUGUUACAUAUAGCACCUUGUUUCUUGGACUUUUUGAAAUACACCAGGUUCAGCAUGCUUUAAAACUGUUUGAUGAGAUGCAGCGUAAUCAUGUGGCAGCUAAUACAUAUAUAUACACUACCUUUAUUGACGGGCUCUGCAAGAAUGGUUUGGAACUGUUUCUGAAGAUGAAGGAUGAGAAUAUUAACCCCAAUGUGGUUACUUAUACCUCUUUGAUUCACGGUUUUUGUUACGCUAAUGAUUGGAAUGAGGCGAAGUGUUUGUUUAUUGAGAUGAUGGACCAAGGGGUACAACCUAAUGUUGUGACUUUCAAUGUGAUCAUGGAUGAGCUCUGCAAGAAUGGAAAGAUGGAUAAAGCAAGUCGGUUGCUGGACCUGAUGAUUCAGAUUGGUGUGCGUCCAGAUGCUUCUGUCUAUAACACAUUAAUGGAUGGGUUUUGCUUGACGGUUAGAGUUAACCGUGCGAAGGAACUAUUUGUUUUUAUGGAGAGUAUGGGUUGCAAACAUAAUGUUUUUAGUUACAGUAUUUUGAUAAAUGGUUACUGCAAGAAUAAGGAAAUAGAGGAAGCGUUAAGCCUUUAUAGCGAAAUGCUCUCUAAAGGAAUUAAGCCAACAGUUGUUACAUAUAGCACCUUGUUUCUUGGACUUUUUGAAAUACACCAGGUUCAGCAUGCUUUAAAACUGUUUGAUGAGAUGCAGCGUAAUCAUGUGGCAGCUAAUACAUAUAUAUACACUACCUUUAUUGACGGGCUCUGCAAGAAUGGUUUUGUUCUAGAGGCACUGGAAUUAUUCCGUGCUAUAAGAAAUAGCAAGUAUGAGCUUAAUAUCGUAUCCUACAACUGCCUCAUUGAUGGAUUGUGUAAAAUAGGCAAACUGGAAACUGCUUGGGAACUGUUUCAAAGUUUGCCUCGUGUAGGCCUAAUGGCAGAUGUUGUAACAUACAACAUCAUGAUCCAUGGGCUUUGUAAUGAUGGGCAAAUGGACAAGGCACAUGAUUUGUUUCUUGAUAUGGAAGCAAAAGGUGUGGAACCCGAUUGUGUCAUAUUUAAUACGAUUAUGCUGGGUUUCAUCCGCAAUAAUGAGAC